AUUAAUUUUUUUAUUAAAAAUUUAGUUAUAAUUUUGUGAAUAUAAUAUUAGGAUAAUAGAAAAAUAAAAUUUAUGUCUGUGUAUUAUAUUAAUAAGUGACACAUGCAUUAUUACAGUAUUAUAUUAAUAUAUUAAUUUUAAUUAAACAUCUCUAGGGUAGGAAAAAUUCUAGAAUGCAACGGGUAUAUUAGUGACGUGGCGUAACAAACCAAUCAAAUUAAUCCUUUUAAGAAUAUAUGUCCCAUCAUGAUUGUAAAAAAGUAUUUUUAUUGUACUUUUGUUUAAAAAGAAGGAAUGUGAUUGGCUUGUUAUUGAUGACGUGGUGCAAGUGUGACAGUAUAGAAUUCCUCCUAGGGUAGGGUGUGAGUGGGGCCCUCACUAGAUGGGUUAGGGUCAAGUGGCUUGUCCUUGGGAAGUUGAGACCCAGCUAGGAUUGGAGGACGUGAGAGGGGAUGCCAUGUGGGUCAGUGCGGGGGUCAGUGGCUCAGAGGUGAUGAGUGGCAAUGAGCUGCACCCCAUUGAGGGACGUACGGGAGUCACGUGCCCUGCACGUGGGUGUGUGUUGUGCGAUUUAUUUAUUAUAUAUAAAUAUAUAUUACGCUCCUCGAGGCCUUGUCGGAUGAGCCCAGAGGCUGUGUGGAUUUGAUGCUCUCUAACUUCGUGCGGUUUCUCUAUAUUCCCUUCAUUUUAUUAUCAUUAUUGCAUUCCUGUCAUAAUCUGGGGAGUUUUUUUUUUUUAUUUUUUACUUUAGUACCCAGUGGUUUAAAGUGUAUCAAGUUAGUAUCUUGUGGUUUCACACUUUCUCACUUUUAUAUUCUGUGGUUUAAAGUGAAUCAAGUUAGUGCCCUGUGAUUUCGCACUUUCUGACUUUAGUAUCCCGUGAUUCAAUAUUUCAUUAAGAGAAAAAUAAAAUCGCAGGGAACUAGUUUGAUACAAAAACAAAACCACAUAGUACUAACUUGAUACAAAAAUAAAACCACAGAGUACUAAUUUUAUACACUUUAAACCACAGGAUACUAAAGUGAGAAAGUGCGAAACCACAGGAUACUAACUUGAUACACUUUAAACCAUAGGGUUACUAAAAUGAAAAAGUGCGAAACUAUAUGGGGGUUUUUGAAGUUUGUCCAAAAAUUAUUAAUAGUUGAUAUCUAAAGUUUAAAAUUUAAAUUUUUAGCUAUUUUAUUUUUUUAGUUAAAUUAUUUUUUUAGGCACCAUUUGGGGGAUAGGGAUANAAAUACUAUGGAGGUAAAGCUGAGGACGAGAAUCGUAAGUAUUAUUGUUUCCAUAUUGCAACAAUCUCUAAAAUCAAACAUUGUUUAGGGACUUGCAUUAACUCGCCAGAGUUACACAAUUAUUUUGAAUGAUUUUUCAACAAAUUUUUAGUAAAAUUCUGAGGUAUCAACAAUAUUUUAGUAAAGUGUAUCAAGUUAGUAUCUUAUAGUUUCACACUUUCUUACUUUUAUAUUCUGUGGUUUAAAGUGAAUCAAGUUAGUGCCCUGUGAUUUCGCACUUUCUCAUUUUAGUAUCCUGUGGUUUAAUAUUUCAUUAAGAGAAAAAUAAAACCGCAGGGAACUAGUUUGAUACAAAAAUAAAACCACAUAGGACUAACUUGAUACAAAAAUAAAACCACAGAGUACUAAUUUUAUACACUUUAAACUACAGGGUACUAAAGUAAGAAAGUGCGAAACCACAGGAUACUAACUUGAUACACUUUAAAUCAUAGGGUACUAAAAUGAAAAAGUACGAAACUAUAUGGGGGUUUUUGAAAUUUUUCCAAAAAUUAUUAAUAGUUGAUAUCUAAAGUUUUAAAUUUAAAUUUUAGUUAUUUUAUUUUUUUAGUUAAAUUAUUUUUUUAGGCACCAUUUGGGGGAUAGGGAUAGGGAUAACUUCUAUCCCCCUUUAUAUCCAAACGUUAAUUUUUUAUCCGAAAAUAGUAGUUCUCGAUUAUCUAUAAUAAUCGGGUAUAACAAUACCCACCAAUAUUUUCAUUUUUUAUAUAAAACUACCCAUCAUUUUUUUUAUUCCAUAUUAUCUAUCCAAACGUUAUUUUUUUUAUCCCCGAAAACAAUUCAAUUUUAAUCCAAACAUUAUUUUUCUUAUCCCCAUACUUGUAUCUAUUUCUAUAAUAGCUAAUUUUUACUUGUGUCCGAACCAAAUACUACAUUAAUAAACGAUACAGAUAUAUAGCAUACGGACUUUUUUCGAAAAUGACCCUGUAAAAUUUCGUAUUUGCCAAACUAACCCUGUGAAAUUUUUAUUUGUGAAACUAAUCCUCCUCUCGCCACGUGGGCGCCACGUCAGGGAUUCCUCAAAAAGACGGUGAAUCGUUCACCGUCUUUGAUAUUUGUUGUGAAGGCGGUGAAUGGUUCACCGUCUUCAUAAGACGGUGAACCAUUCACCGUCUUUAGUACAAAUCCCUACACUGCGCAAAUCUUUUCAAGUCCAUAAUAUGGUGUCCUUGAUAAGACGGUGAAUCGUUCACCGUCUUCUCGAGGGCACAGAAAAGGCAAACUUGAGAGAGCCGAAAGAGAAAUUUUGCACUAAAGGCGGUGAAUGAUUUACCGUCUUCUAAAGACGGUGAACCAUUCACCGCUUUUACAACAAAUUACAAAGACGGUGAACGAUUCACCGCCUUUUUGAAGAAUCACUGACGUGAUGCCCACGUGGCGAAAGGAAGGUUAGUUUUACAAAUAAAAAUUUCACGGAAUUAAUUUGGCAAAUAUAAACUUUUACAGAGUUAUUUUUGAAAAAAGUUCAUAGCAUACACCUUCCGCACUCCCUAAAAAACAAAAAAAAAAGAAGCUUUUUUGAAGAAUUUGAUAUGACGAUUUGAUUGAUAGUAUUUAGGCCCAGUUUGAUAGAGCAAUGCUACCUCUAUAUUUAUUUAUAUUAUAUAAAUUUUAUAUCAUGCUCCCCCAAAUAUUAUUAUUUUCUAACUAGUCUUGUAAAUUUUUUUAAUACUAAUUUUUUUAAAAGGAACUUAUGAAUCUUAGGAUGAGUGGGAUGUGAUAUUCACACCUAUUUAUAGGUGUGCACGUAGUAUUUUUUUAGUUUGAUAAUAUAAUCACUACAAGCUUAAAAUAUUAAUAAAUANUACACUAGAUCAAGUUUUACGAAGCCGAUCGUUGAUUCGAAAACUCCAUCAUCGAAAACGGCUCAAGAGCACGGAAGCCUCCGUGCUCCUGAGAGCACAGCAACCCUGCUCCUACAAUGUGAUUGUAAUUUGUUGUGAUCGCUGCUGUUGUGGAGGAUCUUAAUAAAAAUAUUGUUGAUACCUCAGAAUUUUACUAAAAAUUUGUUGAAAAAUCAUUCAAAAUAAUUGUAUAACUCUGGCGAGUUAAUGCAAGUCCCUAAACAAUGUUUGAUUUUAGAGACUGUUGCAAUAUGGAAACAAUAAUACUUACGAUUCUCGUCCUCAGCUUUACCUCCAUAGUAUUUGAUUAGAAAUAGCAAAAAUAAGUUACAAUAAGGGAAAACUUCAAAAACCCCCUCUGUGGUUCCACACUUUUUUAUUUUAGUACCCUGUGGUUUAAAGUGUAUCAACUUAGUACAUUGUGGUUUCUCACUUUAUCACUUUAGUACCCUGUGGUUUAAAGUGUAUCAAGUUAGUACCCUGUGGUUUUGCAUUUUAUCACUUUAGUACCCUGUGGUUUUAAUUUUGUAUCAAAUUAGUACCCUGUGAUUUUUUAAACUAUAGGGUACUAAAGUGAUAAAGUGUGAAACCACAGGGUACUAAAGUGAUAAAGUGCAAAACCACAGAGUACUAACUUGAUACACUUUAAACCACAGGGUACUAAAGUGAUAAAGUGAGAAACCACAGGGUACUAAGUUGAUACACUUUAAACCACAGGGUACUAAAAUAAAAAAGUGUGGAACCACAGAGGGGGUUUUUGAAGUUUUCCCUUAUUGUAACUUAUUUUUGCUAUUUCUAAUCAAAUACUAUGGAGGUAAAGCUGAGGACGAGAAUCGUAAGUAUUAUUGUUUCCAUAUUGCAACAGUCUCUAAAAUCAAACAUUGUUUAGGGACUUGCAUUAACUCGCCAGAGUUAUACAAUUAUUUUGAAUGAUUUUUCAACAAAUUUUUAGUAAAAUUCUGAGGUAUCAACAAUAUUUUUAUUAAGAUCCUCCACAACAGCAGCGAUCACAACAAAUUACAAUCACAUUGUAGGAGCAGGGUUGCUGUGCUCUCAGGAGCACGGAGGCUUCCGUGCUCUUGAGCCGUUUUCGAUGAUGGAGUUUUCGAAUCAACGAUCGGCUUCGUAAAACUUGAUCUAGUGUACUUGAAGUUUCUAGAAAAUAAUAUUUGCGAUUUUUCGAUAUCAUUUACCUAGUAAUCGAAAGGAUUCAAAAUCAAUAAUUUUUAACGGCUGAAAAUAAAAAUUCUAUAAAAAGUGGUGAUAUAACACUAAAAAUUUCGAUCAGAAAUAUUAAUUUUGUUGUAGAUAGUAUAAAAAAUUUUGUAUCAAAAUUUCAUCUGAUUUGAAUACUUCUACACCGUUAAACUUGAAAACGGCAGAUAUCAACCAUUAAAAAUUAUGGAUUUUGAAUCAUUUCAAUCACUAGGUAAAUGAUAUCAAAAAAUCGCAAAAAUUAUUUUCUAGAAACUUCAAAUGCGCUAGAUCAAAGUCUAACGGAGCCGAUCGUCGAUUCGAAAAUUUUAUCAUCAAAAACGGCUCAGGAGCUUCUGAGAGCUCAGCAGCCCUGCUCCACAUUGUAGAUGUACAUAUAAAAUGGGGUGGAGUGUUUCUGAUCACAAAGGUUGGCACAGAAAUAUAAAUGGUAAGCAAAUUGCUCCAGUUUAAAAAAAUAAGGAGGCCACAGAGUCCAGCACUAUAGGCCAGAAUCGAUCUAGCCGAAAAUCAGAAGAGGGUGGUGAAUAGGAGUUGAAGCAAAAUUUUUAAAAAAAGAGGAAAGGGUGGUUCGAAAGCGCUUUGCAUCUUUUAGCUCUCGCCGAUGAUCCUCUACUGCAUCUCAUCUCAUGUUUUAACCUUUUUCUAUUUACUAAACAAUCUUUUAUCCACUCAAAAAGUGGAUUAUUUGGUUGGGAGUAAAAUGUAACGGAGGAUUGAUGAGGGGAAAGGGUACAAACUUGUAAAUAAAUGCACGAAAACAGUUAUUUCUUGUUUGAUAUAUAGGAUAUUAUUCGAGAUCGGUGGUUUGACUUAAUUAUUUCUUGAUUUCUAAUCAAUGUUUGACCUAGCUUUGAUUCAGGCCUUGAUUUUCCUGCCUUUUAUAUGAUGAUACUGAGAAUAAUUUUUAAAAUUCGAUAAGAGAAUGAAGUUUGCGUUAAUAAAGAGAAAUGAUAAAAUGAAGGUAGAUGAUUGGAUGGUUCGCUGCCGACGUGGUGGACCAGGACUAGACAUUAACCCCCAGGGGGAUUAUGAAUUAGGAAAAACUUUGUAACGGUCCAUAAGGGUAUUUCUGGUAUUUUGGACUAAUUUGAAUCGAGGAAGAGAGAGGGAGUCCAUUUCUAAUUGAUCCAACUACACAGCCUCACAGUACGACGACGACGACGACGGCGAGGACGAGGACGAGGACGAAACCCUAAAAUUCGACGAAGAGAGAAGAAAUUUUGGGCGAACGAUUCCAUUUUUAAUCGAUCCAACCAAAUCCGCGUGACUACAACCACGACGAAGGAGAAACCCUAAGAGAUCGAUGAAGAGGGAGGAGACUACCUUCGGCGGAAGCGCGAUGCAAGACCUCUUCGGAUCCGUGCGCCGAUCCUUCGUCGGAAGACCAAACCCUAGCGCGGAGGAGAGAUCCAACGGCGGAGGGGUGAGCCGGAUCGCGGAGAAGAUCGGAUCUUGCCUCAGGAAAUCGAGGGUCGGAUUGGACAUAGGGUUAGGGUUAGGGUUCUUGCCCAAGAGCCUAACCCCGCCCCGAAGGAUUGCAAGCACCGCUGCCGCCGAGGUCGAGGCCCCUCAGAUCCGGUGGAGGAAGGGGGAGCUUAUCGGUUGCGGCGCCUUUGGACACGUCUAUAUGGGCAUGAAUCUAGAUUCCGGGGAGCUAAUCGCCAUUAAGCAGGUCCUCCUUUUGAUUCUCUAAUUAUGGUUACGGUUAGGGUUUGCUUUAUCAUUUUGAAGUGAUUAUUAAUUGUAUUUGGCUUAUGUUGCUGAUGCUAGAUUGGUGGCGUUUUUGUAGGUUUUGAUCGGUGCGAGCAAUGCUUCCAAAGCAAAAGCCCAAGUUAGUAUCUUUUGUGCCUUGAAAGUUGUGUUUAAUUCAUUGUAACAAAGAUUUCAUUGACAAAGAUCGCUGCUUGCAAAAAUUUUUAAACUCUAUUUGGUUCUGAGAUUUUCUCUCCGAAAUAUGUUCUCAGGCUCAUAUCAGGGAACUCGAGGAAGAAGUGAAGCUUCUCAAGAACCUUUCUCAUCCGAACAUUGUUGUGAGUGAAGGGAGAUAUCUCAGUUUUAAUGAAACAAUGCCUUUUAUCUAAGGCAGUUCCGACUGAUAUUUCACUUUUUUUUUCCCAUAUUGAACAGAGAUACUUGGGAACUGCAAGAGAGGAAGAGACAUUAAAUAUCCUGUUAGAGUUUGUUCCGGGCGGAUCUAUUUCAUCAUUGCUUGGGAAAUUUGGAUCAUUUCCUGAGGCUGUAGGCAAACCAUCUUUUUUUUUUUUUUCCUCUUUAAUCUGCUCAUUUCAGUUAUGCAAAAUGCUCCGUAAAGAAUUGUUAAUUCUUUUUUGGUAAACAGGUUAUUAGAAUGUACACGAAACAGCUUUUGCAAGGAUUAGAGUAUCUACAUCGUAAUGGAAUUAUACACAGGGAUAUAAAGGCAUACCAUCUGAACUUAGUUAGGUUUUGGGGUUCUUUUUUUCACAUAUCUGUUUAUUUUCUUGGGAAUGUAAUAGUAUUUUGUUUACUAAUGUGGAUUUCAGGGGGCAAACAUACUUGUCGAUAACAAAGGUUGCAUUAAGCUUGCCGACUUUGGGGCAUCUAAGCAAGUUGCUAAGCUGGUAAGAAGAUGAUCCAAUUUUUGUUCUUCAUUUGAUUGUAACAAGCCAUAUAAGUGAUGUUACAUCUAAAUCUCCUUUUUAGCCUAACAAAUUUAGAGUCUUAAUUCUUCAUUGUUGUAAAUUAUUAAGCUAAGCGAUGCAAUGGGGUUUUGAACAUAGAAAUUUAGCCGGAUUCUUUGUCUGCAAGAGUGAAUGCAUUUGCUUGCAUAGGAUUGAGGCUAGAUAUAAACUAUUUAUCUGAUGUGUUCUUGGGUUUAUGUACAUUAUGUGCGAGUUGGUUGCAAUUGAGUCAAAAGUGUAUCUGUCCCAUCUAAGUACUUCUCUAAAUUGGCAAUUGAGGGUUAGUUAAGGACCAUGUUAUGUUUUAGUCAUUUUCUCAAACUGCUUAAAUAACUACUCUUGCUGCUUAUUUUCAAUGAGAAAAUUUUACAUUUUUACUCAAGCAAACGAAGGAAACAAGGACAAGCAGGAAGUGUUGACUGGCCAAAUCCCUGGGUUCUCAACUUGAUUGAGGUUUUAUGCCGAGAUUACUGGACAUACAUGAUAUUGUUUCACAUUUUAUUUAAGGUUAUCGUUAUGAGGAGGAAACAAAUUUCGUUGGAAGAGAUACAUUAAGAAUCGAAUUAUUCCUAGACAUGUUUAUUGCAAAACAGGAAAUUUUCUUGUACCCUGAUUUCUGUUUCUUCACUAUUAGCGCCUUAGUGUUCAUAUAUUUUUAUCUUAUUGUUUUACUUCAUUGGCUAAUUAGUGGCUUUCAUAUUUUACUAGGCAACUAUGACAGCUGCUAAGUCUAUGAAAGGUACUCCGUAUUGGAUGGCACCAGAAGUAAUUGUUCAAAGUGGACAUAGCUUGUAAGGGCUAGAAAUUUUUGUUGGUUGCCUUACUGCUCUGUUUUUAAUUGUUUUUUAGAAUAUUUGGAUUUGAGAGCCUGGUAUUUUUCUUUGCUUUUAAAUGUUCUUAGUUCAAUGUCCUCUUAGUCCAGAUGCUGAAAAUCUUUCCCUAUUUCUUUUAAUCAAUGAAUGAAUGAUAAUAUGUAGAAUUAAAGACGUAUAUGUUGAAACUUUAGAUAUUUAUAUAUUUCCCAAGUGAAUUGGCUUGUAGCUUAUUGUUAUUUCUGAUGGUUUUGUGUGGAGAAGAAUAGCUUAUUGUUUUUUCUAUAGAAGUUUCAGUUCAUAAUGGUACUUUGAAAGUCAUGCUAGCGCAUAAUUUUUAAAUUUCCUCAUAACUAACCUAGUUCUCUAUUGAUAAGUCUUUCACUAAUUUUGUAAAACAUCAUCUUGCAUUCGGUUGUUUUUUUUAUUUUUAAGUCACGUGUGUGUGGUCCAUCUCAGCUCUGCUGACAUUUGGAGUGUUGGUUGUACUGUUAUUGAAAUGGCUACUGGUAAACCGCCGUGGAGCCAGCAAUAUCAAGAGGUAAAGCUUACUGUUUAAAAUAAGACAAAUAAAUCCAGUUCAUUGUAAAUCUUUUUUUGAACUUAAAUAAAUCUAGUUCAUUGCAAAACUUCCAUUAUUUGACCAGCACUACAAAUUUAUUCAGGUUGCCGCAUUAUUCCAUGUGGGGACAACAAAGUCACAUCCACCUAUUCCAGAGCAUCUCUCCUUGGAGGCCAAGGAUUUUCUUCUGAAAUGCUUACAGGAGUAUGUACAUAACUCUCUCUCUCUCUCUCUCUCUCUCUCUCUCUCUCUCUCUCUCUACUUUGUUGCACCCAUACUCUUCCAGUAUAAGGUUAAUUGCAGGAAAAUAUGAUUAUAUAGCUAAAAGUCGAUUUAGCCCCUAACUCAUUAUCAUUGCAGCAUUCUCAUGUCGCAUUCAGUAAUUACCUUUCAUUUAAACAUCAUACUUCUGAAAAGUGUCUGAAUCAUGAGCACUUACAAUGAAUAAUAACACGCAAAUUAAAUUGUUUGAGAAUUAUAAAAUAUUUGUGUUUCAUCAAACUACUCUGCUCAAACUGCGCCUUUGUAGAAGCUCCGGUAAAGCAAAGAGGUCCUAAGACAAACAUUUAUCCUAUCCCUCAAUAUUAUGUAUUAAUAAGACUGGAGGAGCUUUUCCCUUCAACAGUUUUACCUAAUAAUCACAGUUGCUGUAAAUUGAUCUUUUAAUUGAUCAUCUUUGUCAGUCCUUUUUAAAAAUAUGACCAUCUAUUGACUUGCUUUCACUUUUGAAGAGAACUUGGGGAAUGUAUUCUGAAACAACUGGGAUGUCAAGUGAAGUUGGUCAUGAUGUUGCUUUCAGUGACCAUUUUAUUUCUUCUAUGGUUCAUUUGUGAGUUCUUACUUGUAUCAUGACAUUCUUUUUUCAGAGAACCAAGCUUGCGGCCUACUGCAUCAGAUCUGCUCCAGGUACUAUUGUUUUGAGUGUGUUAAUUGUAUCAAAAUAGUAGAUCAUUAUAGUAUGUUAAAUUAUUUUCUGUGUGUUCAUCCUGUUGUGUAAAUUAUCCUGAGAUAAAUCCUGAUUCCUUAAAUAUUUCCAAGCAGCAUCCAUUUGUUACGGGAGAAAUUGAGGAUCCACAUCAAUCAAGUCGUGUUGUGAACAAGGUUAAACUGGCCUACAGCAACCAGUUGAUUUUAUUUCAUUAAAUACCUGUGCAUUAGAAUUUAUCACCCUGAUAAUGCCCCAUGACAGGAGUCCUCCGAAAUUGAGCAUGCGGCAUCUAAACUGCAAGCAAAUAACUCGUAAGUAUUGGUGACACUUUUUUGUUCGUCAGAUGCAAUGAAAAAACUGCUUGAAUUAUGGGGAUUAUGUAUACCUUCAAAUCUGUUUAACGGCUUGAAUAAUGAUAACUGUGAUCAUUGCAGCUGCUCAACUAUGAAAUCUAAUAACGUCUUGAGAGCCGGUCCAAUCUGGGAUUCUAUGAACAAUGACGACAUGUGUCAAUUUGCUGAUGCAGAUGAUUUUCCAGUGGUUGGAUCAGUAUGAUUUUUGUUUUGUCCUUGAUUGCUUACUGCUCAGUGGAAUGAUUAAACCACAUACUACCUUCAGUAGUUAGAUAAUUGAGAUUUUUUUUGUAUUAUUUAUUCUUUUAUUUUUUUGCCAGAGCUUCAAUCCAAUGUCUGAACCAUUUGAUGAGUGGCCAUGCAAUCUCAAGAUAAGUGCAGAAAUAAAAAUGAGUCAAAAAGACUUUGGUGAAUUGUUAAAUGGUGCUCCCAACGGUGGUAAGGAUAGGGAAAAUGAGUUCACUUUCCCUUGUGACUCAAUGUGUGAUGAUGAUGAUGAAGUCACAGAGUCAAAAAUUAGGGCUUUUCUUGAUGAGAAGGUAUGCUUACAAGAAUUCUUAUGCAAUUUGUUUACGUUACUAUUCUUCGUGCAUAUAUACAAUUGAUCAUAUUUGAUAGCCUUAUAAUGAUUUGCAAAUAAAUUGAAAAAAUUGCUACUGCUUAUCAGGCUCUCGAUCUAAAGAAACUGCAGACACCUUUAUAUGAGUUCUACAACACCUUGAAUGCCACCAAUUCUCGAUGUGUUACCAGUAUUUGCAAUGAAAAUAUAAUGGCUAAUUCAAAAUUGCCUCCUAAAUGCAAGUCUUCACCAAAGAAGGUUGUUAGUGGGACAUCUACGCCACAGUCUGAUAAUGAGAAUAAUAAUAAUUUGAGCCCUGGGAGCUGCAGCAUGCGUGCUUCGGUCAGCACUUUGGAGAAUAGUCGAAUUUUAAGAGAAAUAGCUUCUCCUGAGUGGGGCGAUUCUCUUCAAGAUGCUAAACAAGAACCAACCAGCGCAAGGUUUGUUAGCUGACAUCUAUGAUUGAUAUAAGAUUUGGACUUGGAUACCUAACUUAUCUCCCUAAAGAACUUGAAAGGUUUAGUGAUAAAUGAAUACUAGCAAGUUAAUCAAUUGAAAAUAUUGUAACCAAAUUUCUUUAGUAUUUUUUUUUUUUUUUUUACCUAUCUCUCUCUUGGUAUCAUUAUCUGUGUCGUCUGAUCCAAAAGAAUGCAUUUUGAGCAGUGUAAGCGCCUCUGAGAAAGAAAGGAAGUGGAAAGAAGAGCUGGAUAUGGAGCUUGAGAGAGGAAGAGGUAAUCAUUAUCAUCUCGAUAUGUAUGGUAUAUACGUAAGGAUGCAUUUUUUAAAAUUUACAGUUAGAUCUGUGUUGAAUCUCUCAACAGAAAUGCGCCAAGCUGGCCUUGGUAAAACAUCUUCUCCAAAGGAAAAAGGCCCGAACCGAAAGAGAGACCGACAACGGUUCACAUCUCCAACCAAGUGAUUGCAGAAGCAUUUCUACCAUAGCCGAACAAAUGGUCCAUCUCAUCCUUUUAAGUUUGGAUAAUACAAAAGGUGUGCCGUUCCAUAAAUGUUGCCCCCAUCUUACCAUCUCUAUUAGUUGACGAGCAGAAGAAGGCUAGAUGUCGAUACCGGAGGCAUUUUUGCUGGUUCAAACACAGAGAGAAUCACGAAGCAAUGCCGAGUGGACAAUGCAGUUGCGAGCUGCCCAGUAAUCUUGUAAUUUGUGAAGAAUGUAAUGUUUCCUUUUUGAAGAAAUUGUUGAUUGCGUAUGACCAUAUUGACUGGCAUGUUUGGAAAUCACAGUUAUAUAAUGUAGGUUUUCCGUGUAGUUUAGUGGACAUAUUUGUUUGCCAUUUGAAUUAUUUAGUCUUUGAAGGAUGCCUACUAAUGUUGUAGUACUAAACAGUAGGUAUUUGCUUCUAGUUUAAGAGGAAAAGAAUAAUGUAAAUUUUAGUUAUGGACCUUUGAUCUGUUCAUUGCAGCUGCGAUGCCAUCAUAAAUUUAGCAUCUUAAUGGACCUUUGAAAAUUCAUUCAAAAAUGAAUCUAUAGAGGGAUAUUUGUAAAUCAAUAAUUUUACUUCCAAGAAUGGUAGGGAUGCAAGUGGAUCCUGCUUGGUGGAGUUUUCGUCCCGAUCCGCUUGGAACGUAAGUUACGUAACCGUUAGUGAUAACUAAAAAUGUAAUAACUCGUUACUUUUUUUAUUUUUUUAAUAGUAAUAUGUACGGCGUAACUUUUAUUUAUUUUUAUCGUCGCUGUGCGAGCGCCCGCAGGAUUUCCAACCUACGCCCAAAACUCGCAUUGCUCUCUUUCGCCCGCGCGAUCGUUUCCAUUUUCUCGAGUCGUCUUCUUCUUCUUCCAUGGCCUCCGACCUCUUCUCCUCCCUACGUCGCCCUCGCUCGCAGGUCGAUCCCUCUCUCUUCACCUUCUCAAAACCCUAAUUAGGUUUCUCUUUGAUCGAUCUCUCCGAUCUCUGAUCCCUCUGCUUCUUCGUCUCUCCGCAGGUGGCGCCUCCACCGCCGUCGCUCCCUCACUUCCCGCGCCGUGGUUAUCAUGUCGAGCUCGGAGCUCGUGAGAAGGCGGUGAGCGAUCCACUCUUCUCCCAGUUCCCUUUUUCUUUUAUUUUAUUUUUUUCGCAAAUUUGUUGUGAAUUAGGGUUUCUAUCUUCUGAUAUUCGAGCUUUAUGGAUCGAGAUUUAGGGAGAGAUUUGGGUUCUUUUAUUGGAUAAGAAGGGAAUUGUUAUUCUUUUCUUGCCUAAACUAAUAGAAAGCUGAGAUCUUGUUGACACUUCUUGAAUUUGUUUUACCUUUUUUUUUUUUUUUUUUUUUUUUUUGAGUGGUGGACAUUUCUUGUCAUCUUAAACAGAUAACUUUUUGAGGUAAAAUGAUAAAAGGUUUUUUUCUUCUUUUUUUUUUUCAUUUGGUUAAUCAUGCUUUGCAAUGCAUUGUAAUCACAGCUAUUGGAAGAGGAUCCUGCACUGAAGAAGUUCAAAUCAUACAAGAGUAGUGUCAAGCAGGUGUCAAAAAUCGGAAAUGCCCUUACAAUGCUUGUAAUUGCUGGUAUGAUUUAUUAUCACAAAGUACUUCAAUUUUUUUUCCCCCUUUUAUGUUAUUUGUUAUACUUCUACUCAAAAAUGAUGUUACUAUUAUGUUAUGGUAGCUGAAUGUUGUUUUACUUGCUUAAUUUAUUUAGUACUUACAGUAAUGGGAACAUGUUCAUUUAUAUUGGCAUGGAGUUAUUUAUUCAACACGGUAUUUGUUUACAUUGGCAUGAAAUGAUUCUUUUUUCGCUUGUAGUCGGCAUCAAAUAUAUUCUCUCUUCAGGACCAAUGACUAUCAAUAAUCUAAACGCAGAUUGGUCGAACAUCCCAUAAUGUUGUUCGAAUGUGCUUGCAUGUGCGCGCUGAUUAUACGUACUCACUUUUCUGGAGUAAUCUAUGGUGCACCCGCUAGUAGUUUGGUUUUUCGUAUGUUUCUACUGUGAACAUCCCUUGGGCGCCAUUUUUUGGCUUGUCUAGUCCUGAUUCCUUAAUGUUGCCUGCACAGUCAAAAGAUAAUUAGAACAGGGAAGUUUCACUGAAUAUGAUCGUAGGGGUUUCUUUUUCUUUCUUUUGUAGUUUGAAACUUGUGAUUUGUGAUUUGUGAUUUGCUACAUACUUGGAGAAAUGUGCAAAUAUGAAAAUAUGAAAAAGGAAUUAGAACGUCGAAUGGUGCUGGAGGAGAUGAAAAGCUAUUAUCCGUUUUAUCUGCUGUGUUUUGUUCCUUUACUUUCACCCCUUAAAGCUUGUGCAGCUUCUUAGAAACAAACUCAUUUUGAUUUUAUUUUUCUCUUUUCUACUUUUUCAGCUUGCACUUAUGAGAUUUUUGCAGUGGCAACAACAAAGAACUAAAGGAGGCAGUGCUGUUGUAACUAGUUUGCAUAAUAAAAGAACAAAGUCUCUGCGCAUUUUAUGUGCUCCCGCUCCAUUGCUAUUCAAGUUCAAGACUCCUCUGGUUUUGAUGUAUAAUAAAUCUGUUACAUGGGUCUAUUCGGAUAUGUUAUUUUGGAUUCAACUGCUCAAGUUUCCUUUUUAUCUUUGACAUUACAAUGGCACAUGCUUUCUCAAAAUUACAGUUUCGUAUGUGAUUUACCUCAAAAAUCUGAUUUUUCACAUCAUUCACAUAUUAAAUUUUCUGCUGCAGUUCUUCAUUUCUGGUCUAUAAAGUUGCCAGUGAAGGCGGUGGGUUUUGUUGCCUUUUUGCAGUUUGCCCUCUGCUGCAUUGUUGAGUCUGAAAAUUUUGGAGUAUCUGUUAAAUGCAGUCUGAAACCUUACAUAUAUCUAUCUAUCUAAUCGCCUGUAUGUGCUGCGGUCCAACUGCAGCUGUUCUGACAAUCGAAGAUGCUUACUAAAUCCAUCUGACUUUGCACUCGUAUUUUUAUGCGUCGUUCUUUUAUUAUAUAGGCCAAACUAUCUACUUUGUCCCCCUUUUUUUUUUCCAACAUUAAUCUCUUAAUUUCGAACUGAUUGAUACUUAAAGGUGGAUUUAUUUAUUUAUUUAUUUAUUUUUUGUUGAAGCAAAGGAUGAAAAACUUUGUACAUGUUAAAAAGAAUCAGAAUAGUAUAUUACUGCGAUCUUUCAAGAUCUGAGGGAGGAUGAGGGCCGGACUGUUAGACCGAUAUUUUUCAGAAAUUUUCCAAAAUAUGGGCCCAAAAUCAGUCGGCCGGGUUGUAUCUCUCUUCAUGGGCCUGGUCUGGCCCAGGACGGGCUGCCUUCGAAGGAGAAAAAAAACAUCAAAAAAAAAAAAAGACAAAGAAAAAAAGAGAACCUUUUCUCCACCCAUCAAAAGACUGUGAGCGGUGGUGGGCUCGGAACUAACCGGAAGGGUCGGUUUCGUGCCAAGAACCAGUUGCUGACUGCUGAGCCCCAAAAAAAGAAGAAGAGGAGAUGGCGCCGAAGAAGAAGAAGAAGAAGCAGCGAGAGCGGCCUCCCUCCCCGGACCCGAGCGGCAUCUUCCACGGCAUGGUCGUCUUCCUCGUCGCAAGGGGCGUCCAAUCUCGACGGCUCCAGGUAAUAGCAAUAAAUAAAUAAAUAACACCCUUUCGAGUUCCACCAAACGUAGUUGAUCCAACAGGGUUGGUUUCUGUUCCCUUUUUUUGUUCCCCUUAAUUUCGAGCGUAGGUGUGGAAGCAGAAGCUGAUCCAGAUGGGAGCUUCCAUCGAGGAAACUCUGUCGAAGAGGGUCACGCAUGUCUUCGCCAUGAGCUCCCACUUCCUUCUCCAACAAGUGGGCCGCGAGCAGCUCAAUCGCUUCAGAGGGGUGAUUAUGAACCUAUCACUGAUGCUCGGUGAACAUGAAAUAAGAGGAGGUUUGGCUCCUUGGAAUCAAUCAUUCUAAAUAAAUAAAUAAAUAACACUGGUACCAAAUGCUGCAGAGUUUACUUCCCUAUCAGUGGCUGGAGAAUUGUCUGAGAUCAGGGGAGAAGGUGCCUGAAUAUCCAUACACUCUCAGGUUAGACGAGGCCGACAAGUCUGGCGAAGAACCGAAUGAAUCGGCCGAGGCUAGAGAUGGUGAUGAUGAUGAUGCAUCCCCGCAUAUCAAGAAAAUUAAAAAAUCAUCAGCGGAUUCCGUAGAAAAUCGUCGGAGUGAAUCUCGCGCAGCAGGUCACCGAGAUGCAUGCAAGCAUGUAGACGAGCAGGCGACGAUCGAGAAAGGACCUAGUCGCCUCGGCAGCAGAAGUAGCUCUGAAGAUGCCAACUCUAGCAUCAGUUCUCCUGUCGGGUCGGAUGCUGAGGUGUGGUGUUCAUGAAGUCCUUUUCUGUUCGCUUGUAAUACCAUCGACGCUUUAGUUCCAAUUACUGGCAAAGUGUUUUGUGGAUUUAAUAGCCAUUUUACUUUAUCGUUCUAUUUUUAGCCUUCAUCUUUGUUGACGUCGGCUGUUAUUGUUUAUGUGCCGACGACUAUCAUGUUAGCUUAAUUUUACCAUGCUUUGCCCUGGCAAUUGGUCAUGGAUAGGAUAAAAUGAGCAGCGGGCGUACAAAAUUUUGUACCAUUACUAGAAAAUAAUGAUGGGGCAACAGUUUGUUUGGGCCCUAUACGCCUUACGCUUUGUAGGGAACUUCCCUUUUCUCUUGUUCAAUAUAGGUACAGGACACCGUUACAAAAAUAAGCAGAAGGAGAAAUAGCUUCUUGAGAAAAAAUAAAAAUGUUUUGAUUAAUUUCUAGACAUAUUAUGUGAUGAAUACCGAUGCUCCAUAGUCACAAUAAUUGCUGAUUCUUAGCUACUGUAACUGAUACAUCCAGCUUCUGUUAUUGCUGUUGGCUACUAAUCUUGCUAGCAAUAAAGCGAAUCUGCUUCGUUUUUCCUUUUAUUUUUUCUGCAUUAUAUUCAGUUGGUAGAAAAAAGCAAUUAUUUUCUUGAAAAAACUCGAUUUGGUCAUUUUCAAGCUUUCAAUAGAUGCAUGCGUUACUUGUCAGGGCAAAAAAGAAAAAAGAUUGCAUUCACCUGUUUCUUUGUCGUUUUUUAGCAAGGCGGAUGCUUUUCCUUGCACAACUAAUGUUCUUCUUUUCUUCUUUAUGAGUUAAUGUCAUCAGACAGGUCUUUCGGAGCACCCCACGUCCUCGCUGUACAGUCCACCAGAUCUAAACAAGAAUAUCACUGAAAUGUUUGGGAAACUCAUCAACAUAUACAGAGGUAUUGAAGCUGGCUAUCCUUGAUCUUACCAAACUUCGGGAAUCAACUCUCUUUCUAAGAUUUUUUUUUUUGUUUUUUGUCCCCCCAAAGCCUUAGGAGAUGACAGAAGGUCAUUCAGCUAUUACAAAGCUAUCCCGGUCAUUGAGAAGCUACCCUUCAAAAUUGAAAGUGUUGGUCAAGUCAAGCAUUUACCUGCAAUUGGGAAAUCUUUGCAGGAUCAUGUAAGUUAAUAACUUUCGCUACAUCUUGCUUUGUGCCUUUUAUAUUUUGAUAUAUCAUAUAGUCUCUCGUCUUAGCAAUAUUUACCGGCUUUUUGCUCAUGUUCAUUUUAUAAUAUAGCGCGUGUUGGUGUAAGUAGAAUAAACUUUUUUUUUUGUUAAUUUUGUAAUAAAUACCAUCUCCUAAAAUUAUGAGGGGUAAGAAAAUGCUAUUGUGCAGAUUCAUGAAAUUGUGACCACGGGGAAGUUAUCUAAAUUGGAGCACUUUGAGAAUGAUGAAAAGGUAAGGCAAUUUUAUACUAAUACGUGAUCAAUGUGUGAUGUUUAUCACUAUUGAUAGGUAUUGCAUAAAACUUUAUAGAGGUGUAUCACUAGUGAUGAGUAUUCGUAUAAGCACAUGGGGUUUUUAGUGUUCUCACAUGUGAAAAAGUAUUAUGAGCACAUAUUAUUACAUCUCUGCUCUCUUUUUUUUUUUAGAGAAAGGUAGCAAACUUAACUGGGGAAUUGGUCCUCAGGUACCAACCAUUAAGCUUUGAAUUUGGGACCUCAGGUACCAACCAUUAAGCUCUUUGCCACUUGCGCUAGGGAUGGUUGAUUACAUCUCCACUCCAUCACCCUAAUUUUCUCCUAGUUUCUCUUUUUUAUGAGUGUGAGUGCAUAUUAAUGCGAGUGCAUGUUAUUACCUCUCGCAUAUAAUAUAUUUGGGUCUAAUUCAGUUACUGGCAUUGAUUAAUUUUUUAUCAUCACUAAUUUUGUUUUUUGAAGGUACGAACUGUUAGUCUAUUUGGUGAAGUUUGGGGAAUUGGUCCUGCAACUGCUCUAAAAUUAUAUGAGAAAGGAUAUCGUACGCUUGAUGAUCUGAAAAAUGAAGAGUCUCUGACAAAUGCUCAGAGGAUAGGACUACAAUUCUUUGAUGACAUUAAGAAAAGGAUUCCACGACAUGAGGUGCAACUGUGUUAUGUAUUAUCUCUAUAGGUUGGAUUUCUACUUUAGUGAUGAAAUCCCUGAAUUUCUUUUGUUUUCCUCACUCAUCUAGGUUAAAGAUAUGGAGAUGAUUUUACAAAAAGCUGCACAAGAUAUUCAACCUGGGGUGAGCAUUAUAAAAAUUGUUUCCUGUUGGUUUCUGUAGAAUUUCAUCUUUUCUUAUCAUUAAUUUUCUGGAGGGAAAACUUCAAAAUAUCCCUCAGCAUGUUGCAUUGUUUUAUUUUUUAGUGUGUGGUUCAAAUUGUAUCAUUUUCCCACUCUGUGGUUCUCCUUUUUUCUGUGAAGACCUCUAGUUAAAAUGCCAUCUAAUUGAGGACAUGACAAUCAAAUUGCUCAGUAAAAUUGCUAUAAAUAGGAAUUUGUCAUCUUAAUGUUACUUAUUCUUUUAAGUUAUAGAGGUCUAAUGAGUGUAGUUAACAUUUCGUUGUGGAAUCAGAAUACAGGCAUGUUAACUCAAUUAUAGCGAAUAGCAUGUUUCUACUUCACUAUGAAAUUCAAAUAACUAACAGAUAACCAUCCAUACCUGCUCUAUAUAGCAACAUUCUACUAUCAGGUGAUGAGCGAAUGCCUAUGCAGAGUUGCUGUAUUUUGCUAAUUAUUAAUCAGUACUAAUCAGUACUAAGAGAAGCCGAUCCUUUAAUUAGACCUUAGGGGCAUAAAGAGAUCACAGCACAAUUGAGAAAAUAGUCUCUAUCGAUUCCAAACAGAUAAAUACUCUUAGUUUGACGCUUGCAUUGUAAUGGCUAGCACAUUAUUAUGUUGGGUUAAUACUAGUGAUAGUUAGGAGAUGAGGAAGAACAUCCACACUUGCAACAAGUUAUAAUGUUCAACCUAAUAGCUCCCAAAGAUAACAAUAUUAAAAAGGAUAGUAAGCAGUGCAACAAUAUAUUGUCGCCCUUGCAUUGAUGGAAGAUAUGGUCCUAUAGAUAUGUGAAGGUCUCAGUGUAUUCUUGCUGGUGGUAGGAAGUUAUUUUAGAUUUCAUUCUCUAUUUACUUGAUAAAUAUUUGCUCAUCGUUACUGCGUAAUUCAGUUCGAUCUGACUGACAUAAUUCUUUCAGUCCUUUUGUAACUAAAUGCUUGAAUCUUUUGCUUAUGCCUAAUAUUGCUGAUCUAUUGAGGUGUUGAAGAUAAUUGUUGUUUGUGGGGGUUCUUAUAGACGUGGCAAAUCUUCUUGUGGAGACUUGGAUAUCGUUAUCACUCAUCCUGAUGGGGAAAGGUAAACCGCCGAAUGCAUUGAUAAACUUAAUAAUUGCCACUCAAUUGAUUCAGAAACAUGGGCCAUUGAUUCAGAAACAUGGGCCAUUCAUCUCUAUGAUAUUCACUUUGUUUUCUCAUGCUUCUCUUUUUUGAUGCAUUGUGUGUGUUUUGACAUUUUAGUUCUGGGAAAGCAACAUGCUCUACUGUCAAUUUUCUGCCAAUCAAUUUGUUUCCAGCAAUGUAUAACUUUCAUAUUUAAUUAAUAUAAACACGAAAGUUAUUUUUCCGUUGCUUGCUCUUCAUGAUAUCAUUUGUUAUUUAUCUCAUUUAAAUGUUUAAACUUUUUUAUAUAAUCAUUUUAUCCUGCCUAUUUAUGUUGCCGACACAUCACAUACUUUUUUUUUUUCUUUUUUGUUUUGUCCAGCCACAAAGGCUUUUUACGUAGGUAUAUCCAAUAUUUGAAAGGCAUCAACUUUCUGAGAGAGGAUCUUGUAAUUAGCAUGCAUAGCACUGAUGUAAGUAUUGGGAUCAUACAUUCAUUUUUGUUUCUUCUAUACUCAUUUCCCUUGACUUUCAUGCAGUUAAUACUAUAAGAGGAGAAUAGCUAUAUUAGGUGAAGUUAUUGAUUUUGAUAUAAGUUGUGUAGUGAAAUGCUUUCCUUUUUCUUGCUAUUGUUGUAAUCUCAUAAUAGAAAGGGAGGCAAAAAGAAUCACAAUUGUUAAUUUAACAUAAUAAAACUAAUUUCUCUGGAAACAUUUGACGCAACUUAUUUUUAUUGUGAAUCCAAAAGAUUGAGAGAAAUAAACAUUGCUUCAUCAUAUGGUAGGAUUGUCCUUUCGCAUUCAAAUCCUGCUGAUAUUUCUAGCUCCUGACAUGGAGUAAUCCUGUUCUUCCUGGAGAUGUUCUCCUUUUUAAAUUUUUUUUUUAUUUUUAUAACUGCUUUAUGGUAGUUCCUCACAUUUAAAGAAGUCAUUUUGAUAAAUAUUUAAUGCGGCAAUGUAGGGAACAGAUUCUGGGGUUGACACAUACUUUGGUCUUUGCACAUAUCCUGGUCAAGAGCUGCGACAUCGCAUUGACUUUAAGGUACAAUAGUAAAUCUGGGUUCUGCUGAUGUUAGUCUAUUAACCCCCCACCGCAACAACAACCCAACCCCACUACCUUGUUUUUUCCCUCUUCAAUUGGUUUAUGGGAUUAGAAUGUUUGAACAAGCUGAUAGAACAGGUGCUAGUAUUGCUGCGAACAGGUGUUAGUAUUGCUGCGGACAGGUGCUAGUAUUGCUGCAAGUCCUUAUUUUAUGUUGCUAGGUUCUGAGCAUUCUCUGUGAAUUGCUGAUUAAAGGCUCGAUAUAUAUGUCACCCUGACAGGUAUACCCGAGGAACAGAUAUGCAUUUGGGCUAAUUGCAUGGACCGGAAACGAUGUGUUAAACAGGAGGUAUAGGUUUUCUCAGUAAAUUUCAUUUUCUUAUACUUUUUAAUUGUAUAUUUUUUGGGCACUAUCUGGUGAUGGAUCAGAUAUCAGGUUUGUAGUUGUCAAAUUAACUUAACGAUAAAAUAUAAGGUGUUUGACCUGGUAUAGUUUCUUAAUACUAGAGGUGAUCCAACGUCAAGAGAUAAGUUGAAUUAGAUUUUAGAGUAUCUUUCUACCUCAGAGAUGUUUUCUUGCUUGUGCUUUUAGUGGCUUGUAUCCUAGAUAGCAAUGACCAUUGAUUAUACUCUCCAAUGGGGGUGAAAAAAGGAAAUGAAAAGAAUCCGACUACGGCAGUGGCUCCCUGCUUGUGUUCCGUUAAAAAUGUGUUCAUCGCUUGCACUUUCAAUUUGAUUAUGACUUGCAUGUGAGAGUUAUAUUCGCAGGAAACUGCGGAGGUAUUAAUGUUUAUGCGUCUUCUUUUGCCACUAUAUCCAAUGGUAUAUAUAUAUAUUUUCUAAAUUGUGAAAAAGCAUAAAUUUGAUCAAUAAACUGUGCGAUAUGUAGAUUGAGAUUAUUAGCCGAGUCCAAAGGGUAUAGACUCGACGACACGGGGCUUUAUCUGGCAACUCAAGGCUCAGCUGGCAAGCGAGUACGACUACUACCAUUACAAGCAAAUUUCCUACCUUUCCGGUUUUGGCUUCUCUUUUCUGUAACUAUCUGAGAUUUUCCAUUUCGAUGAUGUAGGGGACAAAAGCAGGCACGAUGGUGAGUUGCGAUACGGAGAAAGACGUGUUCGACAUACUUGGAUUUCCCUGGCUGGAACCGCAUGAGAGGAACCUGUGAUGGUAAUCUUGGCCUUCUAUUGUACAUAAUGUGAAGUUCUAAGGGCGUAACAUAAUCCUUUUUUGAGUUUCACUAUGUUUUGAUAAGCAAUCCUCCCGACGCUAACUGCAGUUACCUCUCGACUUUUUGAUAAAAGAAGUUGAUCAAGUGAUCUAAUGAACAACACAUUUUGUUAGUCCUAUUCUGACUCUCAACUUUUUGUUGUUGCACUAGUGAAUGUUCCAUCUUUCCUACUGUUGGGCUUCAGAGGAGCGGGCUGAUAUUGCAAAAAGAUCUCGAUUGAGUAGUUACAUUUGCUGCAACAGUAUAGGGAACUGGUUUCAUGAUUUGCAGCAAGAAUACACUAUCGGGAGAACAGAAGCAAAACUAGAAGGAAAGAGAAAUAUGAGUAAACUAGUAGUAAUAUCUUCUCCGAUCAAACAAGCAUUCACAAAAUCAAAGUUCCCUUCUGUAGCGCUAAUCUAAUCUAAUCCAAAAGGCUUUAUUAUAAGCUCCGACCCUACGAACCGAACAACUAAUUUGGCCCAUUCAAAAGCUUCUGUGAACAGCUUUUUUACCUCGCACAAUUCCUGGCCAUGUGCCCUAGCCCUCCGCAGUUGUAGCAUCGUACCGUUCUCGCCACAAUACUCGCUGCUGCUUCCUCUUCCUCUUCUGUAUCCUCUCGCUGCUCCCUCCACUUGUUGUAGGACUCCACCAGUCGAACGAUCCUCCACACCUCGUCCAUGGUCUCCUCCUUCCUAAACAUCCAGUACUCGGGGUAGAGCGGCGCCACCUUCGAGCUCGCCUCGAUGUACACGUACGGGUCGGAGAGGUCGUAGCCCGAGGCCGCGGCCACGGCCUCGAACUCGGCGAGCUGCUCCGGGAUCGGCGCGUCGGGGGAGAACUCGAACUCGGCGAGCGCUCGGGCGGAGCGGUGCUUGGGGUCGAGCGCCUCGUAGGCGUUGCGGAGGCCGACCCAGAGGGCCCGCGCGGUGCGGCGGUGGACGUGGAGGGCGAAGACGCGGUCGGAGAGCGUGUGGAGGAUGUGGCCGCGGCAGAGCGCGUCGUCGCGCUCCCACUGCGCCGCAGCGGCGGCGGCGGCGGCGGCGGCGUCGUCGUCGCCCGAGGUCGUGUCGGAGAGGAGGACGUGGGCGAGUCCGAGGGUGCGGAGGCGGAGGAGGAUCGACUCCUUCCAUCGGCUGUAGCCCGCGGCGCCAUCCAAGGGUUUAAUCGGAAGCAGCUGCGAGGGAGGUCCCAUGGCUCGCAAAAGCGCUUCUGGAAGAAGCGGAGUGCGGAGAACCCUCUUUGCUCCUUUUUAUAGUCCCCGUAUUUAGUAGUUCCACGUUUUCCGGUGUAGUUGGGCGCUUUGGUACGGGUAAAAAGUUGUACAGAAAUCUAUAGGCCAUUCUAAAAUUCACCUCUCAACUCUUAAUUAAUGCUUUUUUGGUUCUUUAUUUCUCUAAAUCAAGGAUGUUAAUUAGUUAAAUUAAAAGGUUUAUUGACAAUUUUAGUAGAUUUAAUCAUUUCAUAUUUUCAGCUAACAAAAUUACUAUAUUUGAUGAAUAUUUAAUUUAACCAACUCGAAUGAUCUACAGUAGGCGGGUCGCGGUACAAUUUUAUCUGCAUUAGUACAACCAUGAAAUCUGCAGGGUGCAGUGCCACUGGUCCUACAGGGGUAUUUGUCUUUUCCUUUUCGAGGUGUAUUAUGUGGCCUGUAAGCUCUGGGCCGACCCAGGCCCAUUCAUUUUCUUUUCUUGUGUAAUUCGAAAUAUCCACGGGAAGUACCCACCACCACCGCCCUGUACCGCGAGGAAGUCUACUGUAUUUACACUUGCACCUAGGGAUGCAAGCGGAGCGGAUUUAAAGGCAGGAAUCCCACCUCACCUCCGGUCCUAACUACCAAAAUCACACCUCACCUCCCGCCCCGAAUACGAAACGGGUUAAAGAGAUAUAUUUCAUAAUCCGCCCUGCCUCAUAAUUCAUCUCAACUCAAUUGAAAACGUCAAUUUAGCUAGAUUUCUUCCUAUUCCACACUCCACAGAGAAAUAAUAUAUGGGAUGAGACUUGAGUUGAGCUCGACUCAGAACUCAGAGGAAGCGCUGCAGAGAUGGUGGCGACAGGGUUAGGGGGAGCCGCAGCGUUAUCCCCUCUUCUGCUUCUCCCUACUUGUAGCUCCAACAAAUGCCCACCAUCUCUGCUACCACCCUCUUCUCCUCUGCUCUCUCGUAGUCCCCCCCUCCUCCACGGCCGCUCUUCUCUCUCUUCGUCUUCGUCUUCGUCUUCGUCUUCAUCUUUCCAAGCAUGUUGUCUUCGGUCUCCCUAUCCCUCCUCUUCCUCCACCCUUUCAAGAACAACCCAUCAUCGCUUCUUUCCUCUCCAACUUCCACUUCCCAUCUCCUCCCCCACUUCCCACUCGACCCAUCCCCAUCUCCUCUGUAGGGCCACUGAGUACAAAUUUCCCGACCCAAUCCCCGAAUUCGCUGACGCUGUAAGCUCCCCCCCCUUCCCCUAUCGUUGCUGUUUUCUCCUUAUCACAUCUUCAUGGUUUAACAAAAAAAAAAAAUUAAAAAAAAUAAAAAAACUUUCUUGAGAAUUUUCCGUUUUCAAAGGACUAAUAAAAUUUGAAUACGAAGGAGAUCGCUUCUUGUGUACACCUUAAAGUUGAUUUUGUUCGUAAACAUAUUUGGAUCCAGGAGACCGACAAGUUUAGGACUCAUAUGCUUGCGAGGCUGACCGAGAAGAAUCAGUAUUUCGGCGAUUUUGUUGAGGAAAUCGUCGACAUCUGCACCGAGGUUAGAUUUUUUUUUUUUUUUUUGUUUCCUUUCUAAUUCCUUUAUUAGUUAAUGUUAUCCUUUAUUAGUUAAUGUUUAGUAUAAUAAUUUGCUCGUCGGUGUCCAAAUAAUUGCGUGUUGGGCUAGUACAAAUUGUUUGAACAGGUGAGGAGCAGUCAAAAAAUUGUUUAAUCAAAGGCAUUAUUAGGUUCCUCCAUAUGACCUUAAUGUCUUUAAAAUCCUUAACUACAUCAUCAAAACACCCAAGGAAUUAGGUUUCUCGGUUAGACCUAUAACCUCUACUUAUUCAAGCACAUCAAUAAAUUGUUUUGCAUAAUCAUUUUUGUGCACCAGCACGCGUAUUCAGUUUCUAACUAAUGUGCUUCUUUUUGUUGGCAGAUCCUAAGUAAUUUCCUACACGCAGAAUACGGUGGGCCUGGGACACUCUUGGUUAUACCUUUCAUCGACAUGGCCGACACUAUCAGAGAGAAGGGGCUUCCGGGGGCGCCUCAAGCCGCUCGGGCGGCAGUCUGGUGGGCCGAAAAGCACAUCGACAAGGAUUGGAAGGAAUGGACUGGAGAUAGGGACUGAAGACUGAAAAUCUUUCUUGCAAACAGGCGUAACGCCUAUUAGAUCAAUGUUGAGACGGAUGAUCUUUGCCUUCGCGGCUGUAACUGAACUACAAACAGUGAUAGGCUAUUGAGAGUAUUAUCAGUUGGUUAUGUCAGUUUAUUACUGAACAGUGAUAAGCAGGCAAAAUGUAGGAAGUUUUUCUUUUGUUGUUAUAGCAAUGAAACUUUUAUUAUCCUCUUUGUUGCUUUGUUUGCGGAUUUGCUCAAGUUCAUUUGCUUCAACUUUUCAAUCAGAUGAUCAGACAUGCGAACAGAAUACAAUAACAAAAGAACCUAAACUAAACAUAAUAAAUCAGAAAGGGGAAACUUUUGUAGGAUGAUAUAAAAGAACCAAAUUGCUGUCUAUACAUGUAUUUAGGAAAAUUAUUUCUGGCAAUUUACUGAAGGGGUUCUGCGAGUCACCAGUAGAAACUAAAGAACUUUUUCCUGUUAAGCAUAAUUUCAGAAGAAGAGGCUAUCGGAUCAUACCUCUUAUAGCAGCAAUACUCAUUUAGGAAUGAACAAAGUCUGAGACUGAAUGAGACUAAAGGAAUCGGCCUAUGCCGUCAUUGCCGCCGCCUAGCAAUUCACAUCGAUCCGUCAAACACUCAAGCAGUUCCUUAUCUUGCAUGACGAUAUGAGAUCAAAAGAAUCGGUUAAUACCUUCAUCCCCAUCACCCAGCAUCUCAUCCCGAUCUAUAAAACGCUCGAGCAAAUCCGUAUCUUUCAUGACAAUGCAUUUAUCCUCUUUGCCGAACCACUCAUAUCGAUGCUUUGCGACAUAGUCGUAGACUGCAUCCCUCAAUGGAGCAGGGAUGAUCAUCAGAGAGCUCAAUGCGGAGUAAGGAAAUGGCAAGUACGACGCAACCUUUAGUGCAGCUGUAUCAGAUCAAUACAAAAGCUAUGUGUUAGUUGUGGAAAAGAAACACUACAUGCACCAACUAAAAUGCUAAUAAGUUCACAUAUAUGACCAGGAAUGAAGAAUCUUUGAAUCCAGAAAUGCAUGUGAGAACUUUGAGCAGAUAUAUUUGAGGAAGUGUCAAUAUAGUACAAUGGCCGAAUUUCAAAUAGCAGACAAUGAUCUUGUUUUUUUUUUUUUUUUUUUUUCCCUUGAAACCAACAGGCCCAAAUGUAAAAAUGAAAACAAGGAUUGUAUAAAAAGGAAAAUGUCAAAUUUUAUCAACCAAUACUCUUCCAGAAGGUAAAUAAUUAAGAGAUCAAGCAAUAUGUGUGAUAACAGUUCGGUUAUUUUAAAGAUAAGGUAUGAAUGUUAACCUGCGGAACCCUCAUAGUAUGCUUCAGGUCCUUCAAUGAACAAAAAGCGUCGUAGUACAUCUUCUCUAUCAACACCACACAGCCUUAGGUAUGGCUCAGCAGCCUUAGACUGGAGACAGCAAAACCUGAUCUUUUCAUACUUGUCAGCCUUAAUCACCCACCUUACCCCUGCAGUGUAGAAACUCGUGAUCGCUAGAUUUAUGCAUUACAAAUCAGCAUGUUGAUUAAGAGACUAAAUUAAGUAUUCAAAAGAAAGGGGAAAUUCUAAAAUUAACAUAACAAAGUACUAAAAUGUCUUAAAUCCAAAAAAAAAAGAGGAUGGUGAGUGGUUUCCGUACAUCCAGCAAAACACUCUUAUAACAACAUGCAUCACAGAGCGGCUCUAACUAUUUAUAUAUUAUAUUGCUUUGAGAUAAAAGGUGUACAGUAAUCCUAAUAUCAGGGACUGCUAUCAUCAUUAAGGAGAUAAAAUGCCAUAAGUAAUUUCUCAAUACCUGAAAUGAGCAUUUGCAAACUUAAUAUAGUUUUAAGUACAAUAACAAAACAAUUGCAACAGAGAGUAAGAACCACAAGAACCACAACUACAUUGCCAUCUUGAUAUUGAAGCCAGACACCAAAUGGGUACUUUAAUAUCAAAAUGGUUAUCUAAAGGUUAAUCAACCUCUCAUUUCAGCCAAAAUCAACUGUCAUUGAUCGAUAUUUAUACAAGUCCAAUAGAUUAGCACAAAUUAAGCCUUGACGAUAAACCCUAUAGAAAAUCAAAUUCCAAACUUGAAUCACAUUAUUGAUCAAAGAAAAAUUAUAGAAUCAUUGGCUUCAAAAUAAUAGGUGAAGAAUACACAGCGCACUAGAAAUAUUAAUAGUACAUACUCGAGGUAUUGUUCAUUUAUCAUUGUAGCAGGAUUACUGAGUGUAAAAGCUUCAUAUAAUAAAAAAUGCCUGAUAAUCAAAAUUCCAGUGUCUAAUAAUCGAUACUAGAAUAUGUUUUACCUUCUAUUGUUGUUCUUUUAUGGAAAAUGUAACAGGUUAAAUAGACAUAAGCCAUAAGAAUCGUCACGUUUAGGACAGAGAUUGAUUCAUUAAGCAGAAUUGGGAUCAAAUCAGAUUCCCGGUCAUAAGAAAGGCAUCAUAAUCUGAGGAUAGGUUGUUCAAAUAAAUCACUAAGGAACCCUAACAAGGGUUUAAUCGAUCAAAACCCUAAUAUAAGCAUCAUCAAACACACACAAAAAGAAAACCAUAGUAAGAGAGAUCCGCGAAGACGAUUCGAAUCGAAGCGAAACCUCGGUGGCAGAGGUGGCAUACGCCGUCGUAGAUGACGACGCGCGGCUGGAGGAGAGUGGGCAUGGUGGCCGCGCUCGAGGGAGGAGGCGGAGGAGGAAGGGGCUCGACGAAGACGAAGUCGCCUCCGCCCACAUCGGGAGUCGCCGCGGAUCUCGAGGCACGAGCGGCGAAAGCCAGAUGCGGCGCGAAGCGAGAGAAGGACGACGACGCUCCUCUACCCACCGUCGCCGCCGCCGACGACGACGACGCCGAGGCGGCGGCGGCGGCGGCGGCGAGGAGGCGACGAAGAAGAGUCCCGCGCAUCAUCUACCUGGGUAUAGCUCUCCGAUCAUGGCGCGGAGGAGAGGAACGAGUCGAAUGAGAUGAGUCGAACGAGUCGAAGCGGUUGCUGUUGCGGUUUGGCCCAUCAUGUUUGGGCCUUCAUGGGCCUUCAUAAUUCGAAUUUGCAAUAACUAAAACAUCAUUUUUAUAUUUUUGAAAGGUGCUAAAAAUUUAAAAAGGCUUAUAAUUUUUUUCCUGCUCUAAUACUAUUAAAUUGCAGUGACGAUUAUUACAACUAAGGACCAUAUAGUAAAGCCCUGCUUCGAUGGGCCCGUGGUUUUUCUUCAAAUAUAGCUAUUGUUGUUACGAAUAACUACUAUCUUAGAUGUGGAAGAUUCAAAUCUCAGCUCGUGCCAUUUUUUUUUUUUUUAAAAAAAAAAAUAGCAUGCUACCCACUUUGUUUAUUUCAUUUAGAAAUAAACUUAGCUAGAAAUGUGAAUAAACUAGAAUUUGAACUUAGGUCUCAGGUACCAACCAUCAAGCCUUUUUGUCACUUGCACUAGGGACGGUCCGUCUCGUGCCAAUUGAAUUAGGAGUUUUCUAUCCCGAGCACAUAAUAUAUUAUCUAAAAAAAAAUUUAUUAGUGUAAACGCUUUGUAACAAUUCCUAACUCAAAUUGAAGGAUUGACCGACCGUUGAGAAAGGAGUCAGUAAAAUAAAUCUACAUCCAACUACUAUCAGAAUCUUUUUUAAACCAUUCGAAAUUAAUGGUAGAGAAAGAGUCACCAUCUAACUCCUCAAAUAAACUAAAAAAUGGCGAAAUAAAGAGAGUUUGAUGUGGUAGAUGGAACCCACCAAAAGCUUAUUUCCUCUACUAGAGUUUUCUCCGCUCGUCGGAAAAUUACCACACAAUAAUUUAUGUUAUUGGAAAGUUGAGAAAGAAGACGAAAGUUUGGCAGAGGGGCCAAAACAAAAAAGCUGUGACCGAAUUUUGUGUUUUUUACAUCAAGAUUAGGCAUAAGUGACAAAAAUAUUCCAAGGACCACUUUGAUUUGUUUUGGCGUAAAAUAUUUGGUAUCUUUGAUGGACCAAUGUGAUUAAAGUUUUUUUUUUUUUUCCCUCUUUUUCCUUUUUUUGGAAUUUUGGGGCCUAUGAGAGCCUGGUUCAUAUUUAAACAUAGCUAGGGAAUGGCCGCAUUGACCAGGUCAGUGUCGUGUCGUGCCGCGUGCGUGCUCGCGUGCGCGGCCGGAAAAUUAUUGCAUGCACCAGGUGUAUACUCCAAAAGUAGAAUUUAAGCUAAAAUAAUUAGUUUAUUUGGGCAGCGUAAAAAGCCCCGUCAUCUCCUAAUUCGUAUAAAUUUAUUGAUUUUGUGAUUUUUAUUGUCUAAAUUUUACUCUCAAAGCUAAAUGUCUUAAAAUAAAAAAGCAAACAAAUAGACGUAAUAAAUGACCGGUAAAUCUUUUUAGUAUAGUAACAUAUAUAACUUUUUGAUUCAUAUCACUAAGCAUUUCUCUCCCAAAAAUAAGUUAAUGCUCAAGUCGAUCGUAAAAUAUCAAUAAUAUAGAAAAAUGUAUUGCUCAUCACAUGCAACUAUAAAUGAUAACUUCCAAAAUAUUAUGGAUUACAUCUAAGACUUUAUGCUAAAUUUUUAAGUCUAAAUAGUCGAGUUCUGGAGAUUCCAAUGCUCAUGGCUCGACGCACGCAAUAAGUUAUAGUUGUGUCCACUGCACAUCACAUACAACAACAGUUGCAAUACGAACCUAAAAACAUGCCGAACUGUGGAUGCGAACAUGAAAACAUACUAAAUGGUGGAUUAGACUGUCUCACCGAUGACACAAUCGUCGCGUAAUUUUUUGUACCCUACUAGGACUUGGUCAAGAAAAGCAGGAUGAGGAGAUAAAUGUGGUGCAAGGGAUGGGUCCGGGUCGGGUCCAUGCAUUUAAUAUGAAGACCCAAACAACAUGGUUCGAUAAAUGUGACCUGUCGGGAAAUUUCAGACCCAACCACUCGGAUUUCAAUAGCGGACUCGCUUGCUGGCCAAAUCUGGGUCAGGAUCCAUCUUGGAAUGGAUUGGAUACGACCCGUGAGCGAUGUACGAAUGUGUUCGUAUCGCAUCAAUUAAUGGUGAAUUUUAUGGGCGGAGCAAAUGGAUAUUAUUGCACGGAUUUUAUUGGAGCGAGCAAUGUACGUACCAGUGUGGACCUAUGUAAUCUGCAGGGGUUGAGAGAUUAAAGUGGAUAUUAUUAAUUAUGGUGAAUUUUUACCAUUUUGGACAUUUAAAUCAUUUUCGACGAAACAAAAAUUAAAAAGGAAACCUUCGAACUUUUGCCUACGUAUUUAUUUAUGCUACGGCAAUUGCACCAAUUUUAAUGCUAUAUUUGUCAAUUUAUCAAAUACAUUUAUCAAUUUUGUGUGAGGAGUAGAACUAUCAAUUUUUCUAUAAUUUUUUUUAUUUUAUUUUGGUUGCCUUCAAUAUUUUUUGAGACGUGUUGUUUUAAACCCUGUAGCUAAAUUUAUUUGUUAAAUGAAUAAAACAAUAGCUUACUAUUUUAAAAUAAAAACAAAAGAAAUUCACGGAUUACUGGUACAAUUUACGCCUUACUACAAGCAAAAAGGAAUAAGUUAGCUUCAACUUAUGAGAAUACAUUAGAACACAAAAAAUUGAUAGCUAUUUAAUUAGCACCCAAUCGUAUGUUACGUAGGAGCUAAAUAUGGAAUAAUAAGAUUCUGAUCUACAAACUGCUAUUUACGUGUCACACGUUAACUGGUUCGCAUUCCUUCUCUUGUCGAUUGAAAGUGAUUCGAUUGUGUGUCGCAGAGAAAAAAAAAAUCAUUGAAUCAAAAUUUUCUACCAAAACCUCGAGUUUCAGAUCAUAGUGAUCAAAAAGAGGGGUCGAACGUUAUUUAGACAUUGUGAUUAUAUAAAUGUGAAUGGUGACCGAACGUUAUUUAGACAUUGUGAUUAAAUGAACAACAAAAUAAAAAUAAAACUAAAAUAAAUAUGGCAGAAACGUACAAUGUGGAGAUGCGUUCUACUCGUGAGAAUCGAGAUAGCUCUAGUGAUGAUCAAAAGGGUCGUGGAUGGCUCACAGUGGACGACUUUGUUGUACAAAAAUGAAUUAACUUACAGUAACUCCUAGAUUAAAUUUUUCCUACACUUCAUGUCGCUAAGAAUAAAAAUAAAAUUUGGGUGAUUAUGGAUGUCGUUGAUCGCUUGUUGUGUCCGGACUACUCCAAUGAAAUGCUUUUCGAUAUAUGCACGGAUCCAUCGUGUGCACUAAAUAAUCCCGGUACACACAUGGCGUACAUAACAAGAAGUAUAAUGCAAAUAAGAAAAUUUCAAAAUCAUUCACGAGGAAAUAAGAGCAAUUUGUUACACGAGAAAAUUAGAGCUCUGCAUUUUACUAAAGUUCAAUGUGCUACAUUGUUUUCAUUUGUUAUCUUUUUAUUAGUCACAAAGUUAUGCUCGGCGUCGAUAAUCACUUUAUAAUACUGCACCUAUUCUUGGAUCCUUCGGCAUAUACUGUUUGAAUUUCAAAUUUUUGAUCUUGUAUUUUCGUCGCAUUCAUCUACGUAUCGACGGCAAUGGAUUCUCCAACAUGAGCAUCUAUUAAAAUGUACCUUGUGAAAGUUUCAUUAAUAUUGGCCUACGAAUUGAAUCACCUUUUCUCCUUCAAUUAAUUGGGCCAUAAGUAAUUGCAGAGUCCUCUCCGAAGCCAAUGGCUUCAUAAAUACUCUUCUGAGUUUCUGAUUACACAGUGCUCUAGGCCCCACCUUGUUCCAUCUACUCUUCAGAGAAAAAUAAAUAGGAACUAAAAAAUGUGGUCAAAUCUAGAAAAUAUGACCAAUAAGUUUACAUUGCGGAUCAUCAUUUUGCCUAGAGAAAAAACAAAGGAUAUUGAACCUGUUGUAGAGUUUUUACUUUUGUUUAUACUUAGACUUUUGCUUCUGUUAAUAUUGGUAGUUUUUGUAUCAAAUUCAAAAAAUGGGAAUAUUAAUAAUCUCGGUACAAUUUACAAAGAUAUCUCUAGCUGUUAAAUUUACACUUCCUUUACUGCAGUGGGCCAAUAUUUAUCAAUCAACUUCCUAAAGAAUAAUCUUGGGUUGUUUCUUAUAAUAUCAAUUUUUUUAGACAAUAUAAUAUCAAAUUCAGUUCUCAGUCCCUUUUAUUUUAAAAGGACUCGAGUUAUAAAAAUUUUUAGGCUGAAGAAAUCGACUAUUAAUUCAGGUAGAAUUAAGAUAUAAUCUUUUAUAUAUACCAGUAUAAUAUUGAUAUUAUAUAAAUAUAAAUAGUAUUUAUCAUCAAUUUUUUCAUCUUUAGCUCACCAACACCAACUAAACUUAAGCAUUUAAUGAUCAAAAAAUUGAUAGUAAAUGCUAUUAUCAUUCUAUCAAUAGUAUUCUAGCUUAACCCUAUAUAUAGAGAGUUAGGUUUCUAUAAUAUCUAUAGUAGCUAGUGGUGCUCUAGCACUAUAUAUAAUCUUAUUUAAAUUUUAGAAUGUUCAAAUCAAAGAUCCACACCAUUAAAAUUGAUAAAAAAAUUUUAAAGUUUUUAGGAAUACAAUUUUAUAUUUUUUGACAUAAUUUAUUUUAUGAUCAAACUAUUUCAAAAUUAUCAAUUUACUCUAAACUAUCUAGAUUAUGGUCAGCAUUCUUGAUCUUGAAUUCAAAAGUCUAAUCUGCAAAUUUUAAAAAUUAUUUAAUUUAAUUUUAAAAGUCUAAUCCUUGGUCAUAUUUUACCAUGUGGAUCGUUGAUUUGAAUAACCUAAAAUCAAAAAUAAAUUUAUAGUUCCAAAGUUCUGGUACUAUAGACAGUAUAGUAGCAUCACUCUCUCUCUCUCUCUUUCUAUAUAUAUAUAAAGAGAGAAAGAAAGAGAGGGAGUUGAACUAGAAUCAUCAGUAGUAAACGGACGUUAUUGCUAUCGAUUUAUUUCUGACGAUAGAGCUUUCAAAUCAACAAUUGACAUAAUUGUACAUCAUUUAUAUCAUUUAAACUAUUCAAAAAUCAAAUUUAUAUUUUUUUGAUAUUAUCUUCUUUUCUAUUAAGUGGAUAUAAAAAUGAACGGCUGAAAAAAAAUGUCAUUUUAAAAGUGAUAAUAAUAGUCUUGUAAUCAAGAUAAAAAAUAUACCAAAUGAAAUAGCAAAUGGCUUAUUGUCUAUAUUGGCGCGUCGUCUAAUCUAGGUGAAUGGUCUUGCAAUCAAGAAGUUUCUUGAUGCGCAGGCCUAGUUUGAUUUUAUCUUAGACUCGGAUCGGAGAGCGAAUAAUCCGAUGCGGUUCAAUCAUCAAGCAAUGAUCUCAAGAUCUUCAGAUAUCAACUAAAGUCUAAAAGGCUUCGACUUCUUUUAAGGUUUGGUCAUUGAUCCGGAUUGAAAUUGGUUUGAAACAGAACCGCUCCGCAAUAGCAAUCCUUCGAAAUAGUUCUCUCCACGGGGUGUAUAUGUGUAGUACGAAAGGUGCUCGCUGGUAAGGGAUGAGGUGGUGUGAAGAUGACUGAAAUGGUUGUCGUGAUCGUCAGCGUCGAAUGAGAUGGUGGCUCGAAGAAAAGAAAAAAAAAAAGUAAAAUUUUGUGAUUUGACGUGUUUUCAUAUCCUUUCCUCUGCAAGGGGCUUUCUCUUUUAUAAUAUCAUAGUCCUUUCCAAAACUGCUUUAAGACUUCAUUCUUAUUUCUAAUCUCUUCGGCAUGUUAUUAUUCAAAUUUCAAAUUUUAAAUUUCAGACGAUCGUGGGCUCCCUCACUCUUGGCUAUAGUGGGAGUUUCUAGACUUUUUAUUCCUGACUAUCUUGAAGGCGAAGCCUCCUUACCACCGAGACCUUCAUCCAAGGCUGACUUUCAGCAUGAUUGUUUACAAAAGAUUUGCGUUCAAUUUGAGGAGUAAACAUUACGAGACAAUAAAAAAAAAGUUAUAUAAAAUAUUGAUCCCAUUACUGAUCAGUGGAGUUGUGUUAGGCUCAAUCCGAAGCAUGGAAUGAAUCAUUGAAAAAUCAAACUAUUGAAAUAAGUUGGACGCAUCAAAAGCGAAACAGUUGGGACAGGACAUCUGAUGGAUGUGACCUAUGACCACUCGUCCACGUGGGUUCUCGACCCGGAGACAACCCGAAACCCGAAUGGGCCUGAUAGUCUACUGGACCAGCUAGCAUUCCUCCAACAAAAUGAACAAAAACCAUUCUCCUCCAAAUGCAUUGCGCCAACACGCUCCAAGCCUCCAACACAAAUACACAAUCUUAGCAUAGUUACAUGCACCUCCACAGCUCAGGGUAAUUAAACGCUGCAAAAUCUCACGGCUAGGAUGUCGCGACACAGGCUAAGACAAAAUCUCCGACAUCGCUUUUGUGGAGAGUGUGUUGCUUGAGCCUGGUGCAUUUGCUUCAUCCGUAGACAUAUUUUCAUUCUCAUACUUUAAUUCUAAUGUAUUGUGUCAAAGAGAAAAAAAAAAAAAACAUAUAUAUAUAUAUAUAUAUUAUAUAUAAUAUAGAGAGAGGAGAGAGAGAGAGAGAGAAGAGAGAGAGAGAGUGUGGCUAUUAUGCUUCUGGAAGUACGGAGCCUUCCAUGCUUCCAGGUCGUUUUUCAUGUUGCGAUUUCAGAAUCAACGGAUCGCGGCUCCGUUAAACUUGAUCUAAAGUAUUUGAAUAUACCUAGAAAAUAAAUUUUAUGAUUUUUCGAUAUCAUUUGCCUAAUGAUCGAAGGGGUUCAAAAUGAAUAAUUUAAUGGAUCGUGGUGAGCCGUUUGCAAGUUUGAUAGUAUAGAAAUAUCCAUAUCACGUAAAAUUUUAAAGAAUUUUUUAUUACAAUAAAACAAGAUCAAUAUCUUUGAUUAAAAUUUUAAUAUCAUAUUAUCACUUUUGUAAGAUUUUUAUUUUCAGCCAUUGAUUUGAACCCUUCGUUCACUAGGCAAAUAAUAUCGAAAAAUCGCCAUAAUUUAUUUUCUAGGUAUUCUCAAAUACUCUAGAUUAAGUUUAACGGAGACGUCGAUCGACAAUUCGAAAAUCGCAAUAUAAAAACAACCUGAAAGCAAGAAAGACUAAUGUACUUCCGAAGAUAGUAGCCCCCGUCUCUCUCUCUUCUCUCUUUUUUCUCUUCCUCUCUCUCUCUUCUAUAUAUAUACUAUAUAUUUAUAUAUAUAUAUACGUACUAAUACCCGCGCGAUGCUGGCGGAUCUAAAAUAUUUUUAUAAUAAAUUUUAUUUUUAAUAUUUUUAUAUGUUUUAUAAGUCUAAUUAUUAAUUAAAUAAAAAUUAUUAUAAAAUAAUUUAAUAGUUAAAUCUUAAAAUUGAUAUAUGGCCAAAUAAAUUUAUACAUCACUUAUUUUAUAAGAUUUAAUAUGAGAAAGAUUUGAGAUAAAUCUGUAAAAUAAUUUUUAAAAAAUCAAUAGAUAAAGGAAGUAAAUUUGUCUAGUAAUAAAUUGCUUCAAUAAAAUUAUUUAUAUAUAUAUAUAUAUAUUAUAUAUAUACUAUAUAUUAUAUAGUAUAUAUAUUAUAUAUAUAUCAGUAUACAACAAUGUAUAUUUUAAAUUUUUUCACUUAAAAUUAAUAUAGUAUUUUUUUAUAACACGAUAUUUUAAGUGAUUUAAAUUAAAUCUAUAAUGUUAAAAUUUUAAUUAUAAGAUUUAUUAUGCAUAUUUAUUAAUAAAUUAAUUUAUUUAAGAAUUUAGAGAUUUAAAUGUUUUAGUUUUGAAGAAUUUAAUUAUGUAUUUUUUUUAUACAACGACCCUAUAUUUUAUAUGAAUUUAAAUUAAUUAAGAUGGUUAAUUUUAUUAACGUUACUUUUUUUACCGUAUUAUUAAUAAUAUUAAUUUUAAUUUAUUAGAGUUUGGAUUUAAAAUUUAAUUUUGAAGCUUACAAAUUAGGAAAUAAAUAUUAUAAUGUUAAAUUGUAAGAUUUAGAUAUUUAAAAUUUAAAAUUUAAAUUUUAAAAACUUUAAAAAUUUAAAAUAUCAAAAUUUUAAAUUUUGAUAUCAAAAUAUAAAUUUUAUAUAUAUAUAUUAUACUAUAUAUAUCCUAUUAUCCGAUUUAUUACCUGAUUAUAAUAAAAUUAAUUUUAUAAUAUUUUAGAGUUUGAGAGAUUUACAAUUUUAAACUUUUGAAGUUACAAAAUUAGAAUAAAUAUUAUAAUGUUGAAAUUUAAAUUUAGAAUUUAACAUAUAAAAUUUAAACUUUAAAAAUUAAAAAUAUCAAAACUUUAAAAUUUGAUAUCAAAAUAUAAAAUUAUAGAUUAUAUAUUAUAUAUAUAUAUAUAUUACUAUAUAUAUAUAUAUAAUAUAUACCAAUUAUAUAAUAUACUAGUUAAGGGGACCCGCGCGUUUUGCGGCGGGGAGCUAUAUCAAUAAGUAUGUAAUUUAGAUUUUAAUAAUUUUUUUUCCAACAAUUUUAGGUCACGGUAUUUUUUAUUACCUUACAACUAAUUCGCAAUGUACAAAAUUUUGUUGACAAAAUUGACAAAUUAUGCAAAGCAACAUGCUUAAUUUAAAAUAUUAAGUAGAUUUGCUCAAAGUUUUAUAUUAAAAUAAACACAAUACGAAAAAAGCUUAAAAGAUAGGAUAAAAAAGAAACUAGAAAAGUUAAUGUGUAGCAUAAUUUUUUUCUAAAUUUUAUGCAGAUAAACCUAUUUCUGCAAAAUAAAUCAGAAGAAAUAUAACGAUUUGUUAUGUAAGAAAUAGGUUUAUUAGAUUCAAUACACAAUGGAAUUAUCUUUUUAGCCAUUGAAGAUCGAAAUAUUUUCAAAAUUUGGCAUUAUUAGCUAAAUAAAUCUGAACAGCGUCUGUAAUAGGUACACUUUCUAUUUACGAAACAAAAAAAAACGAAUAAAAAUUGGCCAUCAUUAACACAAUAUUGUGAAAAAUUGAUGAAGCAGAAAAUAUUUUUUUCUAGAAUUAAUGUGGAGAGUAGCGAAGUUUAUGAGCAGGAGAGAGUGAGAGAGAGGGGAAGAAGAGGACAUUUCUUUGAUACAUGUUGAUUAUUUUGUUAUCUAUUUUCGUUUUUUCUUUUAAAUCCUCUUUAUUUAAUAUAUCUACCGGAGAAUUUUUGAGAGGUCUGUUAAAACGAUGGCCUAGUAAUAGACGCCCGAAUAAAUUUAAAUAUUAAAAUUAAAAAAAUGUAAACAUAAUAAGACAAUUGCUAAUAGGUUAAUCAGCAUAAUUAAUAGUUAAAGUUUAUACUUUCAAGAAAACCCCUCAUUUCUGACAUUGCAUUUAAGAACGGUCUUAGCGUGCACGAUAUUGUCGCGAAAUCAUUAACACAGCAAAAUUGAAGGAAUGUUAGUGGCUUGUCAAACUCUUCUUCGAUCUGGAAAUGGAAUAGGUAAAACGUGACAACAAAGAUUAGAAAGAUCCUGCAGUAAGAAGAACGAAGAGAUAAUUAAGUUGUGUAGGCCGAAGCUUGUGUGAAAAAUUUGUUGGUAUUUAAUAAUAUUUUCCUCUUUUAUGUUUUUUAUUAUUGCAAGAUGAUUCUUAUCAACUUACCGAAAUUUUUGUUAAUUUAAUGUGAGUCUUAUUAAUUUAUCAAAAUUUCUACCUAAUAUUGUCCGAGAUGAUUGAAUUUUCAAAAAAAUACACAUAGCAAUUUAAUCAGAAUAUUCGAAUUCCAUUAUAUAUGGAAUGAUCUUUGGUAGAAGUGUUUGAGUAAAGAGUCUAAACAUAGAUAAAUUUGGCAUCUCUCUUCUCUCUUUCUAUAUCAUACACCACACAUUCUCCCUCUCUCUCUUCAUACCUCACUCUGUAUCUCUUCGCCAUUUUUUUUUUCCUUUUUCCUCUCUCCGUCUCUUUCUCUCCUCGACACACCACACACAGCAAAUUGUAUAUAUAAAGAAGUACCAGACUAAUUGGUGCCUUGUUUAAGUUUUUACGGUUAGAUCUAUUUCUUCCUUGAUAUUUUGCAACAUAGUAUACUAUUAUCACCAAACAAACAUUCAACAUAGAGGACCACAUCAUGCCUAAGCCGAAGAUCUCCUCAAUCUAUGUGGCUAAAGAAGUUCUGACAAGCCACCAAUAAUUCUGCGGUACUUAUUAAAAGAGCCAAUAGGAGCGCCAUUUCUCUCUCUUCUCUCUCUCUCUCUCUCCUCUCUCUCUCUCUAGUAUCAAUUAUAUAUUAUAUAGAGUCCAGCUACAUAAUUCUGAAUAUUAGUAUGAGUAAAUUUUUCAGGGUAAUCGGAUAGACUGAGUUGUGUUGGUCGCGUGAGUUGUGCUGAUAAAUUAAAGUUAGCAUAUAUGCUGUAAUACUUACAUUUUGAAUUUAUUUUAACUUUAUAUAUAUAUAUAUAGUAUAUGUGUAGUGGAUAUAUGGCUUUGAGUGGUAAAGUUUGUGAUAAUCAAUUAACAAACAUAUUAUGCUUGAGAUAUUAAAUUGAUUACUUAGUUAAAUUAUAUUAAUAAUAUUAUAGGAGUAUUUUAAGUAUUCGGUAGAUGAGUUCUGUGGUGGUGGUUUGUAGAUAUUUCCUUCCAGAUAAUCAAAAUAGUUAUCAUUCAGUCGUUGAGUUAUUUCCCAAAAUACACAUCAAAGCACUAGAAGUUAAAUUAAGGCAAGAUGUUGCACAUUGUUUAUCGUCAUUUAGAAUUAAAAUGUAUCAUCUUCUCUUAAUUUGUUAUUUAUUAGAUGCGAAAAACAAAAAAGCGCAAUUAUCUCCGAUAAGUCUAGCUGUCACUUAUAUAUNNNNNNNNNNNNNNNNNNNNNNNNNGAAAGAGAGUAAAGGAGGGUUUGGGAGGGUGACACGUGUCACUCUCUGGGCCUUCCAAACCCUCCUUUAAUGUAAUAAGAAAUAAGAAUAGAAGAAUAGAUAUAUAUAUAUAUAUUGGGAAAGAGAGUAAAGUAGGGUUUGGGAGGGUGACACGUGUCACUCUCUAGGCCUCCCAAACCCUCCUUUAAUGUAAUAAGAAAGAAUAGAUAGAUAUGCCAUAUAUGAUUGAUAAAAAUUAUGUUUAACUAAAGUAAUAUUUUUAAGAAUAAGAUAGAUUAUCUUUUCGGUGAAAUUAAUAUGAUAUCCACUAAAUCACAAUUGUUGAUAUUUUGUAAAUACUUAAAAUCAAACUUUCAACUUAAUUACAACUAUAUAUUAAAAAAAUUCAUAAUGUAAAAAUUAAAAAUAAAUAACUUAUUUUGACACCCAAACAUGCGUUACAACUCAGCAAGCCUUAGGCAAAUUAUAGGAAUCACAACACACUUGCUUAGAUGGCUUAAAAGGUAAAACCGGUUCUUUAUAUCAUAUUAUCUACUAAAUAUAUAUCUAAUGAAAAGGGGCAUAAAAGUAAUCUUAACACAAACUACAAAAUGGGAAAGGAAUAUAAGAUUGCUAGAUGCGGGGUGUACAAGAUAUAAUGCAGCGGGUGCAGGGUACAUUUCCCAAACUCCCCUUUCCCUCUCUUUAUCAUCCUACAUUAGUAUAAUCUUUUUGUGUAUAUAUCCACUCUGAGAGAAAGAACACCACACCACGCCUCACUCUCCCACUACUCCCACUACUCCCUCUCCUCUCCACUAUACUCUCUCUCUCUCUCUCUCUCUCUCUCUCUCUCUCUCUCUAAAAGUGGGGGUGGUUCGCAUAGAGCGCGUUGGGGUGCUCUCUCUCCCAGGGCGAUCGAUGGGGAAGCUAUGAGGACGUACGCAUCGUACUAUUAUGCGACUAUGCGGCACGGCCCAUCGGAGGAACACGCGGGGUGCGGGUGCGACCUCCUGUGCGGCGAGGACGAGGGCGCGCUCGGCGAGGACUCGGCGCCGAGUUUCGCCCUCCCCGGCGAUGACGAUCCCGAGUUCCCCGACGACUCGGACGAGUCCAUCGCCGGGUUCAUCGAGGGCGAGUCCCAGUACUCGCCCGGGUUCGACUACCCGGACCGGUUCCGGUCGCGCUCGCUCGACCCCUUCGCCCGGGCCGAGUCCGUCGCCUGGAUCCUCAAGGUAAAUCCGAACCCGGUUCGCUCCGAGAGGGACAAGGCGCACGUUAGAUUAUUACCACUCUUUGUCGCUAGCUUGAGCCAGAUUCUUUUUUAUUUAUUUAUUUUUCUCUUGGUCAUUUAUUUGGCUUUUUUUUAAAAAAAAAAAUAUUUCAGGUUAAGGAGUAUUACAGUUUCCGUCCGUUAACGGCGUAUCUCGCCGUUAACUACGUGGAUCGGUUCCUCUCCCGUCACCAUUUACCGGUAAGCCUUGGUAUUAUGUUAAGGCCUCGUUUGUUAUUACCUUUUUUUUUUAGAAAUUUAAAGUAAAAAAAUAAAAAGUUGAUGUUAUAUACAUACCUUUUUAUUACGAAACAAAUAUGAUUUGUACACUUUAUUAAAUAAAAUCCGUAUUCAAAAAAAUAAAAGUAUUAAACAAGGCCUUAAUUUUUUUUCAUAUAUAUAUAUAUAUAUAUAUAUAUAUAUAGAGAGAUAUAUUGAUAGAGAGAGAGAGAGAGUUGUACAAGUAGUUUCUCCUGUUUAUACAGUAUUAAGUCAUUUUAAUAGGCUAAUGGAAACUUAUUAAUUAGUAUAUAUAUAUAGUAGUCCAAAGAUCNUAUAUAUAUAUAUAUAUAUAUAUAUAUAUAUAUAUAUAUAUUGAUGAAGAGAUAUUGGAUACUGUACAAGUAGUUUCUCCUGUUUAUACAGUAUUAAGUCAUUUUAAUAGGCUAAUGGAAACUUAUUAAUUAGUAUAUAUAUAUAGUAGUCCAAAGAUCCGUGGUGUACGCGAUAGUACAUUUUUUUCUAGGAGAUUAUUAUUUGUUUGUACGUCAUCUAAUUUGCCAUGUACUGCAUAUUAAUUAGUUCGGUUUAGAGAUAACAUAGUAGACCGAGUCCAGGGUAUUGUAAUUUCCGUCUUAAAUGUUACCGUGUAUUAUGAGUGCAUAUAUAUACCAUAUACGUAUUGUCCAUAUCAAUUAAGGAUAACUAACAUUAGUACCAAUUACAUUGAGGAUAACAUUAGUACCAACUUUUCUAGCUAUAAAAAUCAUGCAUUGUUGUACUACAUUUCUAGCCUUUUUCUUUCACUUAACCCUUUGUAACUUUAGGAAGUUAUGUAUAUUUGUGUAGGUGUAACUUUUCAUAGCAUCACUAUUUAAGAUGCUAUGUGUUGUUUAGUGUACGUCUAGUUUAAUGUUUAGAAAGAAACAUUAACUAUGAGUUUUCCUUAUGCUUUAAGAAAACUAAAAAUAAUAUGUAUAACGAACUAAUAAUAAAGAGGCUUUAUUAAAAUGAUUAUUGUUUGAUUCAAGUUUCUUUCUUUAAUUUAGACAAUUAGAAAUUUUUGUACUUCAUAUAUUCUUUAAGCAUCUCACUCCCUCUUCAUUAAUGCUACAUGCUUGUCGUAUCUGCAGCUGUAUGUUCUUAAUUUAUGUGUCUUUUUACAUUUUGGAGCACAUCACAUGCUUCCCUUCAUCUCCUUUCCCUAUUUCUUUUCUGUUAAAACAAAGUUUAGAUUGCCUCAUCUAUUAUAUAUAUUAUUAUUAUUAUUCGACACUAAUAUUCUAUCAUAUCACGUAGUACAUUAUUUUAUUGGAGCUUGUACAAAGAGCUUAUGGUGUUUAUUAUUAAUAAUUAAAUGCAGGAAAAUGGAUGGGCACUGCAACUCUUAGCAGUGACUUGCCUCUCUCUUGCUGCAAAGAUGGAGGAAACAAUGGUCCCAUCCCUCUUGGACCUGCAGGCAAAAUUACAUUACACUCCCUACAUUUUUUUUUAACACCAAUAAUAGUUAUGUUUCUUAAUUUAUAAAAUGGUUAGAAAAAAUUUGAUAUAUUUCGACAGGUCGAAGAUGCAAGAUAUAUUUUUGAGCCUCGAACCAUAAGACGGAUGGAACUACUAGUCCUCACUUCACUAAAUUGGAGGCUUCGAUCCGUGACACCAUUUACUUUUGUCGAUUUCUUCGCAUACAAGAUCGACUCCUCCGGAAAAUACGCGAAAUAUCUGGUUUCGCGUGCGACACAAAUUAUUUUAGCUACAAUCCAAGGUAAUGUAAAAAUAUAAUUAGUAACAAGUAUUCAUUAUAUAUAUAUAUAUAUAUAUAUAUAUAUAUAUAUAUAUAUGAAACAAAUUCGUACCUUAAUUUUCUUAACAUCUAGUGGUGGAAUAAAAAUGAGAAAAUACACUGCAGAUGUGGACUUCUUGGAUCACUGCCCAUCAUCAAUGGCUGCAGCUGCCAUAAUAUGUGCUACUGAUGAGACACCAGCUCUAGCAUUUAUUAAUCCUGAGAUUGCUGUUACAUGGUGUAUUGGACUCACAGAGGUAAAUAAGAACUUAAACUUCUCAUUCAAAUAUUAUAAAGAAAAAAAGAGGGGCCUUUAUUUUUGGAUAUAUGAACAUUAAUACAGUUAUAACUUUACAGAAUAAUGCAUGCAUUUCAUGACUUUCAGACUGUAUAUGUUAUUUUGUUGCAUACAAACAAAAGCGAUAUACUGAUCAAAAUAUACGGGCAUUUAAACACUACCUUAAAAAACAAGUUUCUUUUUGUGUUUUAUUAUUUGUAGGAAGGGAUCAGCAACUGCUACCAGCUAAUGCAGCAAAUAGCUAUUGGUAUAAUACAGAGGAAGCAACCAAUGAUCCUCUCUCAGCUCAGAGUAACAACCUCAACAGUUAAUUUGGGCCCAGGGGUCUCAUCCUCCUCCUCUUCUCCUCCAUCCAAGAGAAGGAAACUCAAUAGCAAUUGAAGGAUCACAACACAAGGCUCACAAUAAGUAAAUUAAUUAUCUAUGAAUUUCUUAUUGGGUUUUUGCAGAUUCCUCAGUAUUUUUUUUGUCUUAGAGGAGUUUGGGUGGUGUUUUGGUUAGUUUAACAAGUGUGCAGAGAUUAGUAUAAUAUUGGUUUGUGUCCCAAGAGUUAGGUCUGGUGCAUGGGAGAUGAUUUUUUUAUUUCUUUCUUUUAUUUUCCCCUCUUUUUGUUGAGUUGUUUCUCUUUUUUUUUUUUUUCUUUUUAAAGCUCUUUUAUUUGUGGGGGCUUUGCUAUUUAGAUAAGCCAUGAUGGGAGAUUCCCAAGGGUGGGGGAUCUGCCAUUUGCAUGCUUGUUUGUGUGGGGGAGGAAAAGGAAAACAUAUGAGGAGGGGAAGAUAUGUUUGUCAUGUUUAAGGGAGUGGGGCUAUUACCAAUCAAAAGGAGCAUUGAUUGUUGAGUAGAGGAGAGAGAAAAGAUGAGGUGGGCCUUUUUAAGGCCAUAGGGAAGAGAGAAGAGCAUUUAAAUGAGGGGGUGUUGUGGUUUUAAUUAAUAAAGGAGCUCAUUUUUCCAAGCCCAAAAGAUCAUGUUCCACAUUGCUCAUCAGUUGGUCAAACUCCUCCAUCAGAAAUUUGAUUGUGGUUUUUUCUUUUUUUCUUCCUUUGUUUUUUUUUCGCAAAUUUUCUUUAUUGGUCUUUGAGUGGUGUGAUUAUAAGUGUCAUGCAUGUAUUGGCUACACAUGCAUUUGUUAAUGCUUGGAGUGACUUAUUGAUCCCACUUCAUGCAUAUAUAAUAUAUAUAUAUAUAUAUAAAUAUGGUGAGCUAAGAUUAAAUGGUUAUUUGUGUACAAAAGGCCUCUGGGGGCCUUUGAUUUGAAGAUACUUUGUCUUACUUGGACUUCAUGAUCAAUAAAAACAAAUUCUGAUAUAUAAUUUUGUACCUAAAAGUGUUUUGAGUUGAUAGCCUAAUGUCUUUGUGUACAAUUUGUAGUACUGUUGGAGCUAAAAUUAUUUACUGUAGUAAUAAAUUGCUAGCUGUUUGGACUUUUCUUCAUUCUACUUCACCAUUUCAUUCUCUUUAUGAGAUUAUUUCUUAAACUUUCUUUAUUAUUGAGCCUUUUUUUUCGCCCCCUUUAAUUCCAUCCCAAUUCAUAUAUAUAUAUAUAUAUAUAUAUAUAUAUAUAUAUAUAUAUAUAUAUAGACCAAUCACUAAUUAAUUAUUUUAAUGAUAUAUAUCAUGGUCAAUUCCAAAUGAUAUAGAUAUAUAUAUAUAUAUGAUAUAAACGAGUACUUAAUCAAUUACCAACCACCAAAUUCCUCCUAAUACUCCACUUCAGCAUCUCUUUUUCUAAAGUUGCAUCACAGUAUAUCAUGCACACCUCAAACUAAUGAACACAAUAAUGUUUUCACAAUGCUUCUUCCCAAAAGAGAGUCAAUAUAUAUAUUCAGCUCUUCAGCACAAAUUUUGACAUAUUUGUUUAGGAAAAUUACGGACGCAAAAUUGUGUACUUAGAUUAACGAAUAAUAGUAAUCAAAAUACGGACAAGUACUUUUUCAUUAAUGACCCAUAAAUAACACGAGAAAACGUCUUCAACAGGUCAAAAUAGAUUGAUUUUUUUAUUUAAUUUUCUCCAACCAAAGAGUAUGGUCAACUCCACCAUAAUAUCUAGCAACUUUAUUGCCAUUAACCCUCUGGGAGUAAUGGGGAGGGGCGAAUGGUACUCAAAUGGGAUGGAGACGUGCAGUGGAGGACAAAAACCCCUUGUACAAUGAGACAUUAUUACCUGGACCUUCAUAAUCAUACAACAAGUAAAAAUAAGUUUUCAAAUCAUUGCAUGUGAUCUUGAUCAUCUGCAUUUUAAUAAUUAUUUAUUUUAUUUUAUGUACCUAGUAUAAAUAGUUAUUUCAACGUUAUUAAUUAACCUUUAUGGGCUAUUGAAAGGUUGUACAACAGAGCUAAAGUUUACAUCAAAUUUCAUGACUCGUAGGGUCGACGAUUAAAGGUCACUUAAUUCUUGACAAUAUAUGUUCCCCAGCUUGUUAUUCCUAAAAAAAUUUGACAUAUUGCCAAUGUGUUGUUAAGUCUAUGUCAUAUAUUAAAAUUAAUUAACACAUAUAUAUGUGAAUUAACUUAUUAUAUUAUUUUGUACUGAAUUGAUAAAUUAACAAAAAAAAUUUAUAUAGUAAAAAUGAAUCUGUUAAUAAUUAAUCGACUGAGAGUUGAAGCGCACGAUUAGUCAUUUUCCACGUCCUUGUCAAUUGGUGCAUAGUAGCAUUACAACUUUUGCUAGCCAGGCCAAAUUAACCUAACCUAUUUUCCUCCUUAGGCACAACUAGUGAUUACAAAAAUUGAACUCCUUGUUGGACUCGAGCAAUGUUGUUAUGUUGGGAUUGGAACACGUUGAAUCAUCAAAUCAAAUAUACUAUUAUAUUAUAUAUAUAUAUAUAUAUAUAUAUAUAUGAAACAAAUUCGUACCUUAAUUUUCUUAACAUCUAGUGGUGGAAUAAAAAUGAGAAAAUACACUGCAGAUGUGGACUUCUUGGAUCACUGCCCAUCAUCAAUGGCUGCAGCUGCCAUAAUAUGUGCUACUGAUGAGACACCAGCUCUAGCAUUUAUUAAUCCUGAGAUUGCUGUUACAUGGUGUAUUGGACUCACAGAGGUAAAUAAGAACUUAAACUUCUCAUUCAAAUAUUAUAAAGAAAAAAAGAGGGGCCUUUAUUUUUGGAUAUAUGAACAUUAAUACAGUUAUAACUUUACAGAAUAAUGCAUGCAUUUCAUGACUUUCAGACUGUAUAUGUUAUUUUGUUGCAUACAAACAAAAGCGAUAUACUGAUCAAAAUAUACGGGCAUUUAAACACUACCUUAAAAAACAAGUUUCUUUUUGUGUUUUAUUAUUUGUAGGAAGGGAUCAGCAACUGCUACCAGCUAAUGCAGCAAAUAGCUAUUGGUAUAAUACAGAGGAAGCAACCAAUGAUCCUCUCUCAGCUCAGAGUAACAACCUCAACAGUUAAUUUGGGCCCAGGGGUCUCAUCCUCCUCCUCUUCUCCUCCAUCCAAGAGAAGGAAACUCAAUAGCAAUUGAAGGAUCACAACACAAGGCUCACAAUAAGUAAAUUAAUUAUCUAUGAAUUUCUUAUUGGGUUUUUGCAGAUUCCUCAGUAUUUUUUUUGUCUUAGAGGAGUUUGGGUGGUGUUUUGGUUAGUUUAACAAGUGUGCAGAGAUUAGUAUAAUAUUGGUUUGUGUCCCAAGAGUUAGGUCUGGUGCAUGGGAGAUGAUUUUUUUAUUUCUUUCUUUUAUUUUCCCCUCUUUUUGUUGAGUNGAACGCAUCAAUGGAGUCACGUGAGCAAUAAUAAGUGGUGAGUUUCCGAAAUCUAUAAAGCAAAACUCAGCUUUUUUUCUUUUCUUUUUUUUUUUCUUUUUUGGGCUCUGCAAAAAUAUGCUUCGAGCUUUGACCGCACGGAGAGACCGUGCGCCACUGCGUCCCAGCUUUCUAUGCGCACACGUCCGCACGGGGCAGGGCUCCGCAUGCGACGCUGCCAUAUGACGCGGUCGCAUACGCGCGUACGCACGGAAUGGUUGGAGCGGACAGAUUUUGGUCGGAAAAAUACGUCCAAAUUAUACAGCUCGAUAAGUCAGGUACGGACUCGGAGAAUCUCUCUCUUUCCCGCGCUGUGGUAACGAACUAUCUAGGCCACAAUUAUAUAGUAGGGUUAAUUUUAUACAGGUUUCAGGUUUCGAUAAAUAUAUCAAAUAAUAAAUAUAUUUUUAUAAAAUUUAAUUUUUUAUAUUUAUUCUGUAAAAAUUCAGUAAUUUUAUACAGCUUCUGAUAAAUAUAUCGAAUAACAAAUAUAUUUGUCGUUCUAAUUUGUAGUAACUGUUAGAGCACUAUUUAUGUUUCAACAAAAGAAAAGUGAAAUAAUAUUUUUGCAAUCAUAAAUAUUUUUUAAAAAAAAUUUAACUGUUAAAAUAAUACAAAAAUGUCCUUUCAAAAAAUUUCAGUGAUUAUUUUUUUUUAUUUUUACCAUCAAAAAUAAUAUAAAAGGGGUAAAAAAAUCAAUUUAUCUCAUUCACAAAUCAGAGUUAAAUAUUUUAUUUAUGGUUAACUAUAUUGUUUUAACGGAUCCUAACGGCAAAGGUAUAUUUGAAAAUACUAGAACUUUUGUAGGAAUACAUAUGAAAAAUUGAACUUUGUAGUGAUAUAUUUACUAUUCGUUAUGUUUACGGAGAGCUAUAUGCGACUAACCCUUUUUACAAUGAGCAAUGCUGAUGGAACACCAUUUUGGGGGUUCAGAAUAUACACUCCACCCACCUAAGGAUGGGGGCACCGCACCCUUGAAUAAAUGGGGUGUAUAUUGUACACCCCGAUUGGGGUGAGGCAUUUUUUUUUUCCAAUACUUUUAUGAAAAUAUAUAAUUUUAUAAAUACAUGUUUUCAAAUGGUGAAAUGUCAUUUAUACCCUUAUAAGCAUUAAUGGGUUUUGGACAUAGGCUUUGGAUUUGCGGGUUUAGAGACACAUUUAUGAUAUAUUUAUAUAACAUUUUCGACUUUGGAGGAGCAUCUAUAAUAUUUUAAAGUUUUAGAUUACAUUUCAAAUUACCCAUUGUAAUAAUAUAAUAAUGCAAUAGGCCAAUGUUAGUGGGACCCAGCACAUUCCUAGUUAUAUCUCUGAAAUUUGUAUUUACCAAAGUAAAUGUAUAUUUAUAUUAAUAUCUCUACAAAUGGCAUAUUUCCGAAAAGUUUAUUUAUUUUUAUCUACCUAUAUAUCCCGUCCAUUUUGCAUGUUGGAAUAAGAUAUGCCAAUAAUAACAUAGAAUGAAUUUUGCCCAAAUUUCUCUCUCUCUCUCUCUCUCUCUCUCUCUCUAUCUAUAUAUAUAUAUAUAUAUAUAUACACACACACACACACACAUACUAGUGUCGACUCAAUAAUGCGAAUCCGCGACAUAAAUUCAUGUUAAAUUAGCAAGAUCACAUUAUGGAGAAUAUAAAAUUUUCAUUUAAAGGGAUAAUACAAAUGUCUUUUCACAAGGCAUAAAUUAAAAAUUUAUUGGUUACUAUUGUUAUGUUGUAAUUUGUUUUAAUAUUUAUCUGUAAGAAUAAUUUGAAAAAAAGUAUACAUACAUAUAAUAUUAUGAUUCCCUACUACAAAUUUAAUACAACGUAUAAUGGACGGAGAGAGGAUGAACACAUGCAUAAUAUUAAAGCAAUUGAAUCCCCCGUGUGUUGAAUCUUUCAAUUUAUUGAUGAUGCAUGAUUCGCUUCAUCAUGUCGUGUGCUGCGCCCAUAUUUGCGGUCCAUCUAAUCACGGCUCGCUUUGGGUCCGACAAAAACACUAGUCACGUUCCAGUGAGGAAAAGUCACGCAUCACAUCACAUCUUUAUACGUACCUAUACAAUUAUUAUUACAAUUAUGGUUCCUCGUAUCAAAAAUGAUCCACUAAUAAGAUGCAUCAAAGCUUAGUACGUACGUAGUUAACCAAUGGGACAAAAGGUUUUAAAUUUGGCCUAAGAUCGAGUGAGAAUCACCUUUUAUCAUAAAUUGAGUCAUGUUGAUGGUACCCAACGACACUGUGGAAAGAUGGUCAUAACUGGGCAAGUGUAUUGCAUCAUACUGACGUGAAAUUGGUUCAAAUGAUGAUGCCAAUUCUGAGGUUUUUUUGGUUUCUUUUUUUUUAAAAAAAAUUGAGCUCAAGUUUGCGUAGCUGGCGAGUUACGAGAGGUCAAUUUCUCUGCCCUUUUGGACGAAGUCGUUGCUAGCUCUUUCAGCAUGAACUAGAUCACACAAUCAAGCUCUUCUCAUGAUGCGUACAAUCACGCUAUUAGAUGUGCAACUUCAACCUAUUAACGAUCCAAAUAUGUGGUUUCUGGACAUAUUGGGUCUUUCGAGCUUCACACACCAGUUCACGCCAAACAAACAGGCUCUUAAUGUGAUGCACAUAAGUCGGUGUAGCUCGAGUUGAAGAGCUUAUUCUAUAUUGACGAACGAUCGUCAAUCUCGAGGGUGAAAUGUCAUCAGCAAUAGAAAAGCACGGUAAAGGAUAAUACCAUGAAGAGGAUCAUUGCUUUAGAGGUUUCUUUUAUACUGUUGUCCAUUAGAAACUGAGACAACUUUUGAAAUGCCUAUCAGAAUUUGCUUUGGUUCGAAUACAAAACACGCUAACAAAUAAAUUUAAAAAUUCAAUUUUAGUAGUCCGUCUAGUAAUAUGAGUGACACGAGUGGCGACAAAGAUAAAGAAAAUAACAAUAUAACAUUAGUACACUCUUUACCUAAGCCUGAUUCAUUGGACUCAUCAAUCCUAAAUAAAUUAUCUUGUCUAGAAAUUGUAGGCCUAAACAAACAAACGAAUCUUCUUGUCUUAUUUUUGGUACUAAAUCCAUUAAAUAACAGUACUAAGAAUUCACAUGUGAUCACUUUGAACACCUUUCAAAAAUCUCCUUUAGGCACAGAAUUUGAUCAGCAUAUAUACUUUUUAUGCUAUCUCCCACAUCCACUAUUCCUUUCCACUCUCUCUCUCUCUCUCUCUCUCUCUCUCUCCCCUGCAUGUAAGGAAUCCUAUGAACAAUCCCAGAAGCCAAUGCCCCUUUAUCUCCCACACCCAAAUCAAAAAGUCUGCUGUUUUCACCUCUUUACACAGCUCCUCUCUUUCACCUCACAAGUUGAUAAAGAGAGAGAGAGAGGGGAGAGGUGCUUCAGCCUUUUCCACCUGCUUGCAAAAGCACUUUUGGAUUGCAAGAACUACAAAGCUCAUCAUAUAGUGUUUUGUUGUAGGCCCCUGGAAAAAUAAUGGAGUCAAAAGUGGGCAUCAUAGCAGAAUAUUUGGAGAUGGAUGGUGUUUUCUUUUGCGCGAAUGGGUUUGCAGUGUGUUGUGUGUGCAACUCUUUGGCUUCUCCUGGGGCAUAUAGUUUUGUGGUGUCUGCUUUGUGGGCAAUUUUUUUUUUUUUUUUUUCUUUUGAGAGAGAAAGAUAAUAUACUACCCACUUCGUUUAUUUCAUUUAGAAAUAAAUUUAGCUGAAAAUAUGAAUCAAUUAAAAUUUGAACUUGAAACCUCAGGUAUACCAACCCGACCACCAAACUUUUUACCACUUGUGUUAGGGACAAUCGGUUGGAUAAUGUUAAUGUUAUUAACUCAUUGGAAGAUGCCUCUUCGCUAAUUGGUUUUAGCAUGGCUCCACUACCUCAACAAUUACGUACCACCAUGUGCAUUGCUAUAACAGAAAGCCUCAUCCCCCCCUUAUCUUGCUUGCCUUUAUUUUCUCUUUUACUCAUCAAAGCAAAUUGCUAAAGCUGCUUAGCUAUAUACAUCCUUUACAGAUCCAGUAAAGUAACAUCUUCGUAGAUAAAUAUGUGAUAUUCUUGAGGGUAAAUGUUGAAUUGAUGACGCGACUAAACGAGUCCCCAGAGACAAUGGCCUGAGUGAGCUGGCGAUCGAUCGUGGCGCAUGACGAUCUAUAUUUGGCCACCGCGGCACCUAUAAAGUUUCGGCAUGAUAUAUAUGACCUCUCCAUUAGAAGUGGAGGAGGCUAAAGGUCUUCUGUUCAAUCAUCAGGGAGCCACCACCUUAUGAGUUUCUGAAACCCAUGAUCUCACCUUUUCCUUCUACUUUUUUCUCCUCUUUGUUCAUGCCAUGAUUUAAGUAGUUGGCCAAUGCAAAAGACACUUUGAUGGCUGUGGGGGAGGCUCAAAGAGGAGGUGCUCACCAAAAGAUACUAGAUGAAUACAUGAUUCGGUGCUUAUUAAUUGGUUGGUGAGAGAAAUUAAAGGGCUUUACAAUUGGAGAGUAUGUAUUGGUUUGACAUGACCAAGUUCUAAUUGUAUUACUCUUGGAGAGAAUAUAAAGUUGUUUUGAUUGAGACUUCCACUGGGGGAACAUUAAAAUAAAAUACAACAAUAAAAUAACACUCUGCUGCAACAUAUGCUGGAUGUUUUAAGCAUCAUCCAAAAAGAGAAAAAGAAAAAGAAAAAGUUAUGGUAAUGUUGGCUAUCAAGAUUUCAGCACUGCGCUUUUAGCGUAUUCACAAGUAAUUAGGCUAAACUGCGCAUGUGGCUCUUAAAUUAUGAGAUAGAUAAUGUUUUGGCCCGAAAACUCUACAUUUUUUAAUUUCGGCUUUCUGAACUAUAUAUAGCAAUCAAAUCCUCACGUGCAAAAUAGCUGAUGUGAAGCUAAUAUUUUAGCGGCAUGAUAUUUCAGUCUUCAUUCUAUCUUUAUUUUCUUUGUUUUAAUUCUUAAGAUAUAAUUUGAAACUAUUUCAAGCCUAUUUGCACAUUUGAACUCAGCUCAUUUAUUUUAUAGUCUAGCUUAAUCGAGCCCCAAAAUCCAACCAAACUAGAAUGGCUCAGUUCGAGUGCAAUCCUUAUUCUGAGUCUCGUCUUAGGGGUUUAUAAUUAAUUAUGUACAAUUUGAUCGUAAGGUUCGGCAUGGGAAAGGCCCAUUUAUUUAAAGCCUUGGUUUAGAUGGGUUAGGCCUAAGAGGAUUUCAAUCUUAAAUUACCAGAGAUGAGAACUAAAGCAGCCCAUUCAAAACUUUGGGCUUUGGUUAACCCGCUAGUACUAGUGGUGUCAACAUACGAUCCGACCCGAUCCGAUCCCACCUAAAAAAAUCAAUGAUCCGGAUUCAUAUUAACAACACUUUAUACAGUUAUUUUAGCUUAACAUUGGGCCAAACUGGAUUUGGAUCCCGACGCCCAAUUUUAAUUCGGGUCCGGGUCAAAUCCAGACGCAGUGUAACUAUUCGGUGCCGUUUUCGAGCCGGACCUGAAUUGUUGCGACCCCUUACCCGCUACAUAACCGAUCGAGCCCAUAGCGAACCACGUUCGCACACCGAGCCCGCAUCCAAUGAGUCCGUUCGCCUCCCUCUCCAUCUCCGCCCCUUCGACCCCGCUCGUCACCUCCUCCGCCGCGAUCUCUCCAUCCAAAUUCUCUUCCCCUUCUCCUCCUCCACUUCGGCGUGGUUCGAUCCAUUUGUGCGCUCGCUUCGUUCCCUCCUCACUCUCCAAAAGAAGCUUCUUUGGUUCUUUCUCGAAGCCUCUAGAAGCGGCGCCAUGGGAGCCGCCCAAGUACGUGUACCCCGACCCGAUCCCCCAAUUCGCCGUUGCCGUGAGUUUUUUCCCCAACUUUUUCUCUUUGGGGUCUUUGUUUUUGUUUAUUUUCUCUCGUAAUUUUUUAUUUUUUAGGAGGCCCACAAAUUUGGGAGCGAGCUUCGGAAGAAGCUUCUGAAGAGCAAGGAAGUGUUUGGAGACGACAUUGAUGAGGUUGUCAAAACAUGCGAACAGGUUGGUUCUGCAUAAUCUCUAGAGAUUUACUUUUCUUAUCAAAUAGAUGAUUUUUUUUUUUUAUUUUGUUUGUGACAAUAUAUGAUUCAAAUCGGUUUUUUGAGAUGAAAUGUGAAUUCCAAUAUAUAUAGAAUUAACAUUAUACAUAAUGUAAAUUACCGACCGUCCCUAGCGCAAAUUCGAACCCUUAUUGCUCUAUAUUUUCAGCUAAAUUUAUGAUUAUGCUUAUUCAAAUUGGUGUUUUUUUGGGUAGAUAUUCAGUGAUUUCUUGCACAAGGAAUAUGGAGGUCCAGGGACACUCUUGGUGGAGCCUUUCACCGACAUGUUGCUCGCACUCAAGGAGAAGGAACUCCCCGGCGGUCCCGUGGCGGCAAGGGCCGCGCUGUUAUGGGCGCAAAACCAUGUCGACGACGACUGGGAUACUUGGACUUCUCGGCGACCUCAGUGAGCAAGCAUUUCAGGUUCAUAGUUUUUGUGCAAUUUUCCUAACAACCAUGCCCUUUUAGAUAUAGCUCUUUGUACAAGUUACAAGAAACUGUGAUUUGCAAUUAUUCAUACCGCCUCUUAUUUGUGUUAGUUGAAUGCAAUUGAGAAAAAAUUUCACCAUAUACAAAUUCAACAUAUAUCUAAUAAACAUGUACUACACCAGUCCAUUGGGAAUCGGCAUUCAUUCAUCGAUCUCACAGAAUUUUCUUUUGAUCAACCAAAUAAAACAAAAUCAACACUAGGACAAUGCCAUAAGAGUCUAGAUAGAUAAGUUCGUCCCAAUUUUGUGCAUUGCCUUCUUAUCUAGAUCAAUCUGGAGGGCAAAACUUGUUGAGGUUAAACGGCAGCACAUAGAAUUCCUCAGUCCUAGGGUCCGUUUUGAAGGACCGGAACCUUUCCCACCAGUGAUUACCUCGGUCUUUUCUCGUAGCAUUGUCUUGCCUGAGGAGGGUGUUGUCCAAGAAAAACGCCACGAAACCCGCAACAAACGGCUUUGACGAGAAUGCUACAUUUAUAAUAUCAUUAAACUGUGAAAGAAACAACAAAGAAAAGAACAACCAGUGUCAGUAAAAUGCUGGAAUAACAAAUCAGAAUGAAAUCGCAAUUGGUGGCCAUAAAUGAUUAACUUCUUCGCAUACCCAUCUUGCAUGAGUGUGAACAGGGCCAUAACCGGCGAUAACGGUGUAUUCGUUGAAGUAUUGCGGAACUGAUAAGCCCAUGAAAACAGAAAACCCUACAAUGAACUUAGUUCUGAAGCUAUCAAGAUUGCAGAACUGAAGGAAACUGAGACCCACGGCACCUGUUUUAUCCAUUUACUACAUAAAUUUCAAGUGUUGUGAAAGUAAAUGGAAAUUAGCAAAUCUGGUUAAAGAUUGAUGAUAAGCUGUUUCAGAAAAGCUAAGCUUACCGACGUAGGCGAAGAGAAGACAAUAUAAGGCUGCAAAUAUCGGUGCAGGAAUAGAUGCAAACGCUGCUCCAAACUUUCCUGGAUUACGAAAAAGUAAAUACGUAGUCUACUAAUUGGCGGGUUGUAGCCAACAUAAGCUAUGCAAGGUUUGGAAUGUCUAUAUGCACUACAAAUUGUAUCAGCUUCAGUACUGAUGCCUAUGCAUGAUACCCAAGAAAGAGAAUAUUACAGCAAGCUAAUUGCCAACAUACUAUGGGCCUGUCUAGAAGAUAUUAUUCGACGUGUAAACAUGUACAUAAAAGUCUACCAUGCUACAGAACUAAAGCUAAGCAUAUAUAUAUAUAUAUAUAUAUAUAUAUAUAUAUAUAUAUAUAUAUAUAUAUAUAUUGUAGUUGUCUCUGCCCACCAGGAGUAACACUUGCUAUCCCUUGUGUGAUUUGCAACAAAAGUUCAUUCAGGAGGAUAAUAUGCAUAGAGAUGGUUGCGGCAGAAUUGUAACUUACCAAGAAGGGAAAAGAAAAUCAUGAACCCUGCAGAUAUUUGCACCACUCUUCGACUGCCGACGCGGGUCAAUCCUAGCAACCCGGCAUUUUCGCUGCACAAGAGAGUAAAAUAAUGAUCUUCAACAGUAAGGAGAAGGAUCUUGAUAUUAGCUUUAUCUGAUUCUUACACUGAGACUGAGGAACCAUUUGCAGUCCCAAACAAGCCAUCCAACAAGAUACCGAUACCCUGAAAUAGAAAAACUUUUAGCGAUCACGUCUUGUAGAAAAGUUGGCAAUAACUUGAUCACGCAUUUAGGGCUAUGAUAAGUAGAACGCCGAACCUGCCAACCAAUGCCGCGGCUGAGAACUGAGUGAGGCACCAUCGUAGCACUUGCAUACCUCGAAAUCCCGAUGAAUGUCCCAGUGGACUACAAGGUUAAAGUGAAUAAUGGCUUAGGUCACAAAACGAAAAAUAAUAGUAUCUUAUCUUUAAUUGCCAAAAGAGAGUGUUAGCAUACUUCUACGAGAGCAACAAAUGAAGCAGCCAUCAUUGCAAAAGCUUCGCCGGCAUCAAAUGUCGGCGCUCCCCACUGAAAGGGAUAAGGAAUUCUUAUCCUGCAAUCAGUAUUUGUUAAAAAGAAAUUUUCAUCUUCAGUGCCUUUACUAUAUCGAUUGCAUUCAAAUACUAUUUUAGCAUUGAAAUGAUAGGAAAUGUACCAUGGAGCACCGCCAAUGAGCCCAGAGCGGUCGGUACGGCAGUGUGCUUGCGUCUUUGGCGGUGCGUGUCUAUAUGCCCCGCCGAUAGUGAGGAAGUAUGCAUACAGCCACACAAUUGCAACCGAGAAUAGGACGGAAAAACGACCAUAAACCGACUUCUCCGAUUGUAUAGCAUGAGGUAUGUACUGUAGAAAAUGCACAUAUCAAGUUAUCAACUUCCCUAGAUGUUUCAGAUUAUAUGCAAUUUGCGUUGUGCUUGUUACAGGAAACCUUACCUGUGAAAAUAUUAGUAGUAGAAUAAUCUGUGGAAGCCCAAUUUCAACACACUUAGCAACCUGCGUGUUUAAUGUACAUAACAUGAGAAAUUGCUUAAAAGAUGAGAUAUAACCAUGAACACUAAAAAAUGUAUAAGGUAAAGAACUAAAAGCUUACUCCAGAAAAACCAAGCUCAUAUAGCCCAAACCCAGCUAACGCGAUCAGCGGAACUGCCGCUAAUGGACUUAAAUAUCUGGAUUUACACAGAACAAGUAGGGAUAAAAAAACAAAAAAAACAAAAACAAAAAAACCAACUAAGCACAUCAUGAAACAUUAACAUAAUUACCGCGAAGAAACCAUUUCAUUCAUACCAACCUAUUCACAUUUCUCCAAAGACCGCUGAAACCGAAAAUAAUCUGAAGUGUCGAAGCGACAAUCAGUGCGCCUUGCGUUCCUCGCAUUAUAUGCAAGAAUUUCUUCGCGAAAACAAAGAAAAUUAAAUGUUAAUUGUUAAUCGGAAUGCGGUUUAGAUUAACAGGAAUUUAUACAGAAAAAGCAAUUAGCAACCUCGUGGGGGUCUGCUAUGUCGCUAUAUCGGCCGGCUAAGAUGAUAGAGAUGGUGGGCGCGAUGAACGUAUACGACCCUCCGAUUACGGCCGGUAAUCGAGUUCCGAAGAAGGUUUGGAAGAAGGUGUUUAUGCCAGAUACAAAUAACAGUGUCUGGAUAACCUUGGCCUUUUCCUCCUAACAGAAGGGGGAAAUAAAUGUCAUUAAUAAAUUUUUGUUGCGAAAUAAAAAUCAAAUGUUGCAUCUAUGGCAAAAAAAUGAAGAGAAAUUUGAGUCAUAAUGUAACACAAGAGAGGGAGAAUUAAGUCUCACAUUGCCUCCCCCCAUCUGGGGAACAAGUGCAGUUGGAAUGAUAACAGUGGUUCCCAACAUAACAAUAAAAUGUUGGAAUCCCAGUAGAAUGGCCUCAGCUGCAUAAUAGAAAUGCAAACAGAUUCAAAAGUGAUAAAUUAUAUUCACAAAUGCUGCAAUAGUCGCGCAUUAAAAUAUGAAGCAAACCAAAUCUGCAUAGCAAAAUACAGAAACUUCUGUACUGAACGAGUUCAAAUUAAUAAAAAAAGGAUACAGCAGAAACACGAAAUCCAAAUAUCUUUUAUAAAUAAAUAGAAACAGAGAGAGUAGUGGUUAAAGACAUGUUGUCACAGAAUGUGCAUGUGCAACGUAUUCAACCACCUCUUUCUAUCUAACGGAUGGAAAUAAUCAAAAAGAUAUAUCUAACAGUCGAAGAUUUUGAUUACAAAAAAAUUUAUACUCAUAAAAAUAUAUAGUAACUCACGCAAAGGAGGGGGGCUAGUGAUGCAGUAGGAGACGUUGGGGAGCUGUUCCCUCACUGGAUGGGGCUGCAACUCAUCCUGCUUCGGCGGCGGUGCCGCCCCUCCUCCGCCUCCUGGUCCGGCCAUCGCUUUUUCCUCUUUUCCUGCUACUCCUACUACUAAUACUACUAAUAUUACUUUUUCCUAUCUCCUCGCAGAAACAAACACAGGAUUUCCACAGCGAAAACCUAACACUCUUCUCUCUCCGGAGAGUAGAGAGAAAGAACCCGCCAAAGAAAAAAGUAUCAAAAUCUAAUUUUUCACAGCUAAAAAAGACCGAGAAAUCCAAAACCCAGGUGAGAAAAACGAGCAACAAGAAGAAGAGGAAGAAGAAGAAGUGCGAGCUCUCCAACAGAGUGAAAGAAGUGAACACACACACUCAGCCCAAAAGAUACUCAGAAGGGAAAAAGAAGAGAAUGAAGUAGUAGCAACAACAAUACCACCUAAAUGAAAAUGAAAAUGAAAAUGAAUCCCACACCCCUCCUCCCCCCCUGUUGUACUGUUCUGUUCUCUUUUUUCCUCCCUCCUCGUCGCAGAGGAAUCUUCUGCCGCACCUCCUUUUAUUCUCUCUCUCUUCUUCUUCUUUACCCCUCUCUCUCUUUCUCUCUCUCUCUCUCUCUCUCUCUCGUAUGUGUGUGUAUUUUCUGUAAAGCCUAACUUCAGUAGGAAGUAAAGAAUGCUACCUAAAGAUUAAUAUUUUCCUCUUUACUCUCUAUUUCUCUCUCUAUUUUCCCAGUAACUGGGUUCUCACACUCCAAUGCAGCAGCUUAAAUAAAGUUUGUGCUACAUGAAUCUCUUUUUGAGGACAAAAAAAGAAGAGAGAGAGAGAGAUUGCGUAUCAACGGUCUUUUGCAGUUUGAAGAAUGUUAGUAAGAUAAGAAAAUUGUAGGACGGUUUCUAAUGUGGCCGUCUUAUUUAUCAUUCACACUGCAUCGAGAUUCGAGUCGUUUGUAAGAUAACAUAUUGUGACAGAGUCUUAUAUUAGAAAUUGUUUCCACUUCACCGGAGUUUUGUUCGAAUUUUAUUAGUAAAAACAUUAUAAUAAUUUUAAGAACUAGAGUACUAUACUGUUAGUAGCACCAAGUCAUUGGUGCUAUUAGGUUUUCGGUUCUUGGAUGAAGAGAUAUACAGUUAGGGGUGGUCUGCUAAGAUUGAAUGGGUAGUUGAUUCAAUAAUAUAUUCUAACGGGUAGAAAUGAUCAAAAGAUUCGAUCUAGCAGCGAAAAACUUGAUAGAGCCAAUUGUUUAGUGCUAUUGAUAGCGUAGUAACCGAACUCUAAUUUUAUUUAUAACUUUCUAUAGUAGAAUAAAGACUACAAAAUAAGAUAUUACAAUAAUUUUCUUCUAUUUUAUCAAUUUAUAUUGGAUCGAAAUAUAAAUUAUUGUAAAGUACAUUUUAUCGCAACAGUUUGUGUCAUUUAUUACUACAAGAUUUAUAACAACAAUUUAUAACGAUUCUUGUUUGUUGCAAGAAAUUGUUAUUGCCACUAAUAGUUAUCAAUUGCAACAGUAUUUAUCAUUGCAAAAGAAGGGAUUUUUAGUAAGAACUUUUAAUUUUAUGCUUCAAAACUCUUUUUAUAUUUUGUUAGAGAAGAAAGUUUUAAAUUUUUUUGACUAUCAAAAUGAUUUAUCGGUAAUUAGGUGGGAGUGCUAAUAUUUCAAGACACUAUUACCCAUUACAUAUUGUCUAGAAAUGUUAUAUCUAUGCCACAUAGAACUGUUAUUCUAAAUAAAAUUAAUGGUUGCAAAUAGAAAGUACUUGAUAAACCAAGUAUUGAUUGCCCAAUCUGAUUACACAAUGAUAAAGGGUUGGAAAAAUGGAAAAAAUAAAAAAGAUAAAAAAGGUAAAAUAUGUGAGGGUCAAUUAUUUAAAGAGGUAAGCUAUGCAACUACAUAUGCAAGGAGGAUAACAUUGAAUCAUGCAAUUUGUAUGUGUGAUGUUAUAAUUAGCCAAUGAGAAUAAUUCUUUAUUUCUUUAUGAAUUUUUUUAAUACCCAAUCAGAAUAAUUCUUUAUAACAACAUUCUUCAUGCUUUCCUUAAGAUUGCAUAGCAUCUUUUCAUAUAUAGUAGGGUUUUAUAUCUUAGUCACUGUAUUCCUAUUAUCAUUUGAAAUCAUCAUCCCUUGUGCAUAUCAAUUCAUCUUCUAUAAAUUCAUAUAUAUUUUUCUCUCAAAUAAUUUAUUUCUGAUUCUAAAUCUCUAGGUUAGAAUUGAGCAGGAUUCAAUUCCAGGCAUUUAUUGAUGGAUAGAGAAGUAUAACCACCUGUCAAUUUUCAAGGGUUUUUUUUAAUAUCAAAUCAUUUAUCUGAUGAUUACUCGUCCUUUUCGAAAUUUCCAGUAAUUUUCUUGUUUGAAUGUUAGAAUCAACUCUUCCAAGCACUCAAUAUAUACUUUUAAUUUCCGUAGCUAGUAUUUGAUUGAAUAGUUGUUAUAAAACGAAGAGAGCUUAGUAUCUAUUUGAUGGGAGAAUUUUUAUUAACAUCGUGAGAAUUAAUUAAUUGCUCAAAAUGAUUAUGAAACAUUUAUGAAAUUAGGAUAGUGAUAUUCUUUUUUCUUUUUUCUUUUGUUCAAAGAAUAUGAUGCUAAGUUCCAGUCGACUCUUCCCGUGCCAUCAUAAAAAAAAUGUCACCAUAAAUCUCAAUCAGCUUCUUUCGGGUGCUUUAAAUUUGUCUCUCUUUAAUUUUCUUUCUUCUGCUGCAGUGAAACUUCGACAUAAUCUCCCUAAGAAACCCAUGUCCUUGUUUAAAUAAAUGCAUUCGAAUUUCGAAGUUUCAAUUCACAUCGUACAAGCACAUAAAAUAAAAAAAGUGGCGCAUUUUGUACUAAGCUUACCAAUGAUAUAUUUGGGGUGUAGUUAUUAUUAACUUUAGAAUAUAAUGAGAGGACAUGUUGUGUUGAGAUACAUACAAGUCAUAAAUGAGGCAGAUCUGUAAUGGAGGCAAAAGAAACAAAAUUUUGGGGGAAGAAACAAAAAGUUGGGCAAAGUAUGUCACGCAGUGAUUGGUGGAAAGAGUUUUCUUUGCGUUUUUAAGAUAGUGCAUUUAAUAAUUUUGCAGUGUACAUGAGGAAUCAGUGCCCUAGUAGAGGAUCUGGUCCAAUGGACUGGGAAAGGAAAGCGCUUUUAAUGAUCAGAAAAAUGCACUUCGGAUUAAUUGUUUCUCAUGUAAAUGGUAAAGGAUUUGAUGAUUAAUAUCUGAGGUCUUAAGUCCAAAUUUUUAUUGAUUCACAUUUUUAGCUAAAUCUAUUUUUUUAAAAAUAAAUGAAGCAAAUACUAUACUACUUUUUUCUUUAAAAAAAUGCUCUUUAGUUAAGCCCAAAAAGGCUUUUAAGAUUUUUAAGUUGCGAAGUAAACUACGCGAUGAACGCGGAGUGGUGCACCACAUGCAAGCAGUAAUUUCUCGGGAGAUGGACGACGAGAGACAAUGCUGAAGAAGGUAAGAAUUUUUCCGCGCACGAAGCUAUUAUGCAGCUGGAGCAGGGACGGGGAAUAUGCGAGCCCUCCUCCUCUAUAGAUUGUUCGAUUGGAUGUUGCUAUUUGUGAGCGGCGGGUUAAAACCACCUAACCCAACGAUCUCCUGAUCCUGGGGCCACUUAUUUGACCAAUAAACACUUUGGAUGAAUGAUUGAGCUCCUUGAGAUUAGAGCUCCUCAUUUUCCUACACCAUUUUAGCUAUACUAAUACUACUUUUCGGAUUUUUGUGUUUAAGAAGCCUCAAAAGGCCAAUUCGUUCUGUUCUUGGGUCUACAAAUUAGGGGUCAGAGAUUUUUUUUUUUGGAUUAAAUAAUAGUAAAUUUUUGUUGUCAAAUGUUUAUCUAUCUUCUACUUUUGCAACAAAAAGUUGCUAAAAGCACUACUCUGUGAUAAUAGGUCUAAUUUUGACCAAAUGCUUGGGUACAUAUUAUUAUCAGGUUAAAUGAUGUACUCAUCUAAGGGAAAGUAGGGACCUCCAAUUAUAUGUGAUGAUCAUAAGAUUCUGUGCAGGAAAUUCCGGAGCCCUAAUUAAGAAAAGAAAAAAGUGAUCUGAGGGAUGAGAUUUGAUAUGGGGACAUUUUCCUACUCCUCAACCUAGCAUGAGGAUUAGCCCAAGCAUAUGAUGUGAUAGAUCACUAAUCCUCGCAAUCAAAGAGAGGAGGUGGGGAGGGAAUUAUUUGAGGGGAGGAGAAUUAUUGGGCUGCAUUUAAUGUUGUAGCUAUCAGAACUUCAAAUUUAUUCCCCAAUAAUUUGAGUCUGGGUAUCCAGUUCAUCAGCUUUAUUAUUAUUUUUGUUUUUUUAGAGAGACUAAAAGAGAUUGCAAGCUGUCUGAUUUGUUUAUUUUUUUUUAGAAAUGAACUCCGCUGAAAAUGUGAUCAUGCAAUUUCUCCGUGUACUUUAUUUUUUUUCUAAAAAUUUUGCAGGAUAGAUUGGAUAAUUUUAAUUAAGAAGGAAAAAAAAAAAAAAAAACGAAUUGUAAUUUUUUUUUUUUUUUUUUUUUCACUUCCUAGCUGUUCUUUGUGUUUCCCCAGUGGCCCAGUCAAUUUCCUUUAUAAAAUUAUAAUCCAUUAAGGAGUGUUAUGGGCCGGGCCCCGAGUUUCUAUCUCUUCUGUGGUAAUUUAGAGGAGGCCCAUUUUGAGGCUAGACCCAUUUCAAGGACUGUUAUGGGAGGGGCCCAUUUUGAGGCCCAAUAAGGGAAGGGGCAGUGUUUCCUUUAGCUAUUAAAUAUACUUUCUUUCACGUGACAAAUAAUAAUAAACACAACUGAUAAAUUCCCUCGAUUCCUCAGACUUAAAGCAUAUAUAUUUAAUUUAUUUAAAUUCCACAUUCAAUAGAAAUUAUUAUAAUCACCAAAAGAAUUGAUUGAUGUAAAAACUAUUUAUGUAUAUAUUAAAAGAAAGAAUUAUUAGGAAGAAUCACUCUGUUUGUGACUCACCCACUCUGCUCCCCAAUAAGAUCCAAACCUACUACAAGAAAAGUGAGCCCCUGAAACAACAAAAAGUAGAAAUGAACACCCUGCGCUGAUAACAAGCUCCUCGCCGCCGCGGUAAGAAGUAGACACGAGAGCGCCAACUCUUUUCUAUACAAUCUAUUUCUAUUCUUAUUCUUAUUCUUACUCUUAUUUGUAUUCUUAUUCUUUUCUGCUACGUCGCGGGCCACCUCAAUAUCAUACUCCGAAGCGUAUUUCUCUGCUUCUGCUUCUGCUUCUGCUUCUACUUUCAGUAGAUCAGAAUUUGACGACCUGCCGGUCUUUUUAGUGACGACCCAUUCGUAGGAGCUGUUCAUGCGAAAGAGCCCGGAGACCAUGGCACUGAACUUGGUCACGGACAUCGUGUUCUCGAAUAAGAGAUACGGGACAAGGAAAGGAAAAGACUUGGGCGCAGGGAGGAUGUUGAGAAGGGACAUGAAUAUGGGCACGUAGCAGAUGACCCAUAUCGGUAGCUUGGCUUCGGGGAUGAACAUUGUGAGUGGGAGGAUGAUGCAGAAGAGUGUGAAUGAGUAGAAGGGGAGUAUCAGCUUCCUCAGGAGGAAGAAUAGGAAUAUCAGGUUCAGCUUCUUCCAUCUUGAUAUCUCCUGCUACAUAUCACAAGCUAUGCAUUAGCAAACUUAAAAACUUUUUUAAGUUUUUAAUGAUCAUAGGUGUGAUUCACCCCUUCUUGGCAUAGAAAACUAUUAGCACUUGGUGGGCUCGAUUUGAGCUCAAACACAACGGUAUAGAGUGAGCAAGAUGUGAACUUGAUCAGGAACCAAACCUUAGAGGCUACAAUGCUGGGAAGGCACAGCCUGAAAAGCUGCAUGGGGCCGGAAUGCCAUCGAUGUUGCUGCUUCUUGUAGGCCUCAUAUGACUCCGGAAGUUCGCAGAGUACCUAACAAAAAUGCACCUUAUUUCGUUUCUCAGCGUAUAAAAGUAUACGUAAAUUUGAUUUGAAACGAAGAUACGAAUUUCUUGCUAUCUCUACCUUGACAUCAUUGAGGAACAUGAAUUUCCACCCUCUGAGAUGCGCACGGACCGCAAUGUCCAUGUCCUCGACGGUCGUUCUCUCGAGCCAACCGCCGGAGUCCUCGAGGGCUUCGAUCCUCCACACUCCGGCCGUCCCGUUGAACCCGAAGAAGCUGAGGAAGACGCCAUUGACCUGCUGCUCCACCUCGAAGUGAAAGGCGAGGUUGAUGUUCUGAAGCCGCGUUAGCAAGUUCUCAUCUUUGUUCACAAAAGACCAUCUAGCUUGUACAAGAGCCAGAUCAGGCUUGUCCUGCAACAAGAAAAGAUUGCUGGAGGGUACCUCUAGCCGAAAAUGAACUCAUCUUGUACGAAUAUGUGCGUAAUUUUCGGUACCUUGAAAUGUGGUACAGUGAGCUUAAGGAAAUCAGCGUUUGGCUGGAAAUCAGCAUCGAAAAUGGCGACGAAUUCGUAGUCCUUGACAUAGUCGCAAGCCAUAGCGGAAUUGAGGUUUCCGGCUUUAUACCCUGUUCUGAAGUACCUAUGCCUGUAGAUUAUGUUCACCCCUUUCUCGCUCCAUUUCGAGACUUCGUUUCUGAUAAGAAAUUGAACACUUUUCGCAUCAGAAUCGUCUAAGACCUGAAUUAAUAGUCGGUCCCUCGGCCAAUCUAAGUUGCAAACAGCAGCUAUGGAUUGCUCAUACACCUGUAAGAACAUUAAAUGAGUUAAUAUUAAAAAUGAAAUACGCAGUCGACAAGCACGCGGGGCACUUUCGCUGUAUCAUUGGUAUCAUCUGGUAGCAGAAUCAUUAGCCCUGUUUGAUAUAACUUUUCUGUAGUUUAUUACCUAUGAUUAGCAAUAUAACGCGGUCAGAUGUGUCCUUUAAAAAGUGUUUAAUCACUAAUCAUCAGGAAAAACACAACACUGUGCGCAAAAAAUGCAAAAAUCAUCGCAAACUAAGUAGAAUUUUAGUUUCUUUUACCUCCCUCUCAUUGCACAUGGGUAUCUGAACUAGCACCAUGGGGUAGGAAGAAGAAUCCUCUCCAUCUAACACAUCUUCUUCGGACAAUCUCGGCUCGAGCUUCUUAUACUUGGUCCAGAAACACCCAAAACACUGAAUAAACCGAUCUAGCGAUUGAAUGAGAAAAAGAAUGACGCAGAAUCUCGAGAGAUACAUAACAAACGGAGCAACGUAGUUCGCCCUAAAGGAGAGCCAACUCAAAUAAGUCCAAUGCGCGAAAUUGCUAACUUCGGAAGGUUGUAUGACAUGUAAGUUCCAUUCAUUCAUGUGUGCAUAGAUUUCCAGUAGCAGUAUGAGCACAGUAAGGGUGAGAAAAGUUCUUAGAAAGAUAAGCAGUUUGCCGCUUCGCUGCGGCUCCUUCGAUCUGUUGUUGAAUAAGAACAUGCGUUUCUUCGCGGCUACGAGAAACUUAGAAGAUGAUUUAAGUGACCAGGAGAGGAAGGAGAGAGCCAUCUGAGCUUUGAGUAGGAGCAGCCAUAUCCACUGCUUUGUGUUCUUGGAUCUCUCCUUGUCGGAGAACGGCGAAGGAACUGAGCCAUCGAUUUCUACUACGGAUAACUUGUUGGGGUUCUCCAUUGUCACUACUAAAGAUACUGGAGCCAUCUUCUACUCUACUUCCCAAGCCACUGCUGCAUUAUAGAUAAAGAAAAAAUUGGAAUAUAUUUUUAAGGAUACAAGGAAAUUAUUACAAAAUUGUUGCAAAUAACUGUAAAACAGAGUAUAUAGUAAACCUCUGAAAGUUGACAAAACAGUAACUGAGUGUAUGUUGAAGAGAGAAGAACCUCAAAACCAAGAUGCCACACAAUGUGUGUGUGUGUGUGUGUGUGUGUGUGUGUGAGAGAGAGAGAGAGAGAGAGAGAGAGAGAGUUUAGUUUCCAGAGUAGAGUGGAGAGGAUGUUGGUAGGUUUUACAUUUUUAUAUCAUGGGGAUUAAAAUAUAUUCCUUGUAUCAUUUAAGAAGCAAACAAAGCAUCCAAGCAUACCAGCACAAUACAACCACGAAUUUUAAGUGUUGCCAUUUAAAUCAGUGCAAUGUAUAUACUAACAACAUUUGAAUUCUUAUAUUAAUUUAGAAUUUGUAAAACUUAGGAAAAAAUAAUAAUAAGGAAAAACUAUGGCUUUCCAACCAACUUUUCUCUUUAAUACUUUAUGCUUCAAUAAAAAUAGCACCAUCAUCUAAGUACUAAAAGAUUUUGACUUCGUUAUAAAUAGACAAAUAAAAGAGACAUGUUUUGAUCAAACUUUUCUUUUUUUUAGAGAGAAUUAAAGAUCAGUAUGAUUCGUUUUUUUUUUCUCAAAUAAAUUUAACUGAAAAUGUGAAAAAAAACAUCAACCUGCAUUCUAAUUAAGCUUGACCAAACAUUAAGCCUCCGUUUGGUUCGGGGUUAAGGAAAAAGUAGCUAUUCCAGAGAUAGAGUUAAGUUCAGAGUUAAAGUGGAGUUAAAAUUUUUUUGUGUUUUGUUGGGGUUGGAGUUAGUCUAGAAUAAUAAAAAAUAGUGUUUGGUUGGAGUAGAUGGAAUAAGAAGAUAAUGAUUGAUAAAGAAAGAUAAUGAUUGGUUAGAGUAGGUGUGAUAAGAAAAAUAGUGGAUAGAAAAUAGUGUUUGGUUGAAGUUUGGUAGGGUUAGGUGGGAUUAACUAACUCAGGAUAAUUUAUUUGAGGUGGGAUUAGCUAACUUCACCCAUUUUUUGGGGUGUUUGGGAAUAAAAUGGAGAUUAAGGAGUUAUUCCACCCCUUAAUCCCCAACCAAACAAGGGCUUAAAGGAUAUAGCUAUUUUCUCUCAGUUUUGUGUACCACGUGCCACAUAGUUUACUUAUUAAAUAAUGAAAAAAAUAUAUAUGACUAGGGAAUUUUCCUUGAAACGCCACUUCAGUUAGAACUUCACAUCUCGAAACUGCUCUUGAUAGUUCAAUUAUAUUUUUCUAUUUUAAUUCAACUUCUGUUGGUACGUAGCAUUUUCUCAUCUACUUUUCUAGUGACUAGUGAGGAUUAAGAAAUAAUUUUCCAACAACUGCUAUACCCACCGACAAAUAAACUAAUUAAACGGGUUGACUUUUUUUAAAAUGUAGGUUUAUAUUUCAAAUGAAGGAAUACUUUGAUUAUUCUCACAAAGGAAAAGUUGGAUAUUAUAAUGGGAGUAAUAAUAGCUUUGUUUAAUUAUUCAUAUGAUUCAAUACAUGUUAAGUAAUAUAGCUUUGGGCUUUUUUUGCAAAUAGCCCCCUUACAAAAAAAAUUUUUAAAUUUGGCCCUGUCAAAAAUUUAUUUGCAAAAAUGGUCCUGGCCCCGCCACGCAAGCGCCACGUCAGCGCCACGCGGGCGGGGCUGGGCCAGAUGGUUAAGUUGAAUACGGUGAACCAUUCACCGUGUUCAAUACAAAGUUUUUGUAUUGGACACGGUAAAUGAUUCACCGUGUCCAAUACAAAAUAGCUAUUUGUAUUGGACACGGUGAACCAUUCACCGUGUCCAAUACAAAUAAUUAGACACGGUGAAUGAUUCACCGUGUCCAAUACAAAUACCCCAAUACAAAUAAUUAGACACGGCUAAGUUGGAGGUAUUUGUAUUAGACACGGCGGUGAAUGGUUCACCGUGUUCAACUUAAACAUCUGGGCCCGCCUUGCCCGCGUGGCGCUGAUAUGGCGCUGGCGUGGCAGGGGUAGGACCAUUUUUGCAAAUAAUUUUUAAACGGAGCUAUUUUUACAAAUAAAAUUUGUCAGGGGGCUAUUUGCAAAAAAAGCCCUAUAGCUUUUGUAUUCUCCAUGUGCAACGGUCGUUGCGAAUGGAUUGUACACCUAACAAACCGAAACGAGACACAUCCAUGAAAGGAGAACGUAAUAAUAAAUGCAUUUGGAUCGUUUAAUUACGAUAGGGCAGGGGAAAAAAGAUUAAAAUAUGUUAGAGCUCUUUGAACUUUAGUUUGAUGACACUUGGAUUUUUUUUUUUUUUUUUGAGUAUAUUUUAAGAACGGAAUAAUUUCUUAUAAUAUAGAGGGAAUAAUAUCGAGGCCCAAUACUUAUGAGAAUUAAGGCCUCGAAUUUUUGGGCCUAAGGCCCAACUCGAGCUUAUUCCCCGGUGCCCCAUAUAGUUACAAUAAAAUCCAACCGGGCCCGACCUGGCCCGGCUCACACUAAAAUAGGCCCCACUCAGGUAAUUUAAACCGAUCUAUUGUGGCCCAUUACCAGUAUUAAAGUGAAAUCAUAGUAUUAUAAACACUAGUGACUCAUACACAAUAGGGGCGGCCGUUUCGCAUACCAAUUACUCUCUUCAAUUUUUGGGUUUCAUUUUAAGAUUAUAAUCCUACAACUCACGUGAUCCAAAAGCCUAUUUUUCUUUUUUUACUACUUGUUUUAUCGUUUUUGUAACUAAAAAUAAAAAGGAUAUUUGUAGACCCUACAACUAUUGGACGAGGAAUUAUUAUAAAAAUUACGAUCCUUGCAGACCAAGUUUUUUUGUUAUUAUUUAAAAAUACUCAUUCAGAAAGCAAAUAAAACUGAAUAAAGAGCUCUAAACUAAUAGCAUGGAAGAGAUAGGAAAUCCACCAAUACCAUUCAUGAUUCGUAACAACAUCAUCGAGAAACUACAGCUCAUUAGGCGACUAUUGCUAUUAUGGGCACAACCCACCACCCCCGCCACAGCCAUUUCCUCACCAAAAAGCUCAUCACUUGGGCUCUCUAUGCUCUCAUCCCCUUAGCCCUCCUCCAUUUCUACCUCUUCCCCCUCUUCUCCCCCCAUCACCCAUCCCCAUCUCCUCAUCAUUCCCAAAACUCCACCCAUACGAUCUCCUCUUCCCACCAAGGUCUAUAUAUUUAUAUAUAUGCAUUGGCAUUACUGUCCAUCACACUCUAUUAGAUGGCCAUUAAUUGUUAAUUUUCUCUGAGAAUUAAUUUGCUUCCUGCUGCGCGCCGAGUAACAGCAACAGGUGCUGCGAGAACCGAUGAGUUCGGAUUAAUCCGGAGGAGGCAGCGGUGCGACUACGCGGAGGGGCGAUGGGUUCGGGACGCGGCGGAGCCGCUGUACAACGGCACGAGCUGCCGCACCAUCAAGGACAGCCGGAACUGCAUGGCGCACGGCCGCCCCGACACCGGCUAUCUGUACUGGCGCUGGAAGCCGAAGCACUGCACCCUCCCGCCGUUCGACCCCGCGUCAUUUCUUACACUACUGAAGAACACGUGCGUGCUAAGUGAACGACCGCUAGCUCUUUUCCUGUUAUAAAAGCUUAUUUACAAAUUAGUUAUCAUUAUAGAGAGAAUGAUGAUGUGUUCUCAAUUGAUGAUAUUUAUAUGGGCAGGCACUUAGCGAUGAUCGGCGACUCCUUGGCGCGGAACCAACUGGAGUCGCUGCUCUGCCUCCUCGCCACCUCGUCGCGCCCCGAGCUCGUCUACAGCGACGGCGAGGUCGACAAGUUCCCGCGGUGGGUCUUCCUCGAGUACAACGCCACCGUGUCGGCGUUCUGGUCGCCGUUUCUUGUUAGAGGCGUCGAGAGAACCGGCGCGGCAGGGCAGACUCACAACGUGCUGUACCUCGACUCCGCCGACGCGCGGUGGGCGUCGGAAUUGGAUAAGAUGGACACGGUGCUGUUCUGUGUCGGGCACUGGUUCGUGUACCCGUCCGUGUACUACGAGGGCGAUGCCGUGCUGGGCACCCACCAUUUCCCGGAACUCAAUCACACCGAGAUCGGAUUCUUCGCCGCGUUCCGGAUGGCGAUCCGGAGGGCUCUUCGAGAGGUCGUGGACGCGCAGAACCGCAGCGGCGGCGGUGCCGAGAAGGAGAAGUUGGUGGUGGUGACGACGUUCCCGCCGGCGCACUUCGAGGGGGAGUGGGACAAGGCCGGAGCCUGCCCGAAGAAGGAGCCGUUCGGAGAAGGGGAGAAGGAGAUGGACUACACGGACAAGGAGAUGCGGAAAAUUGAGGUGGAGGAGGUGGCGGCGGCGUCGGCGGCGGUGGCGGAGAGGGGUGCAAUGCUGAAAAUCAAGGUGCUGGACGUGACAGAGUUGGCCUGGAUGCGCCCGGACGGGCACCCGGGCCCGUACAUGCAUCCGAAUCCAUUCGCCGAGGGGCCGAAGAAAAGGGUGCAGAACGAUUGCGUGCACUGGUGCCUGCCUGGGCCGGUUGAUGCGUGGAACGAGAUAUUGCUCGAAAGGAUGAAGAAAUGGAAAGAAGAGUAAGAAUUAUUAAACGGGAAAUUUUUUCAUUGCAUUUUUAUGUUUUUUUUGGGGUGUUCCUCCUUUGCUUCGUUUUGCUUUUAAUUUAGAAUUAUUAUUUGUUGAGAGGGAUAGAGUUUGGGAUGCAUGCUUCAUGAGGGUUGACAGGGAAAGAUUGAGGAAUUAUCAUGCAGGCCUCUGUUGAAAGGUGAAUUUAAUUAUUUGGGUCAAAAGGAGAAGGUCAUUAAUUUUGCUUUUCGAGCUAUGCGUUGAGGUUAUUUGAGAUGAGCAGUUAUUAUUAUUAUUAUUAAGAAGAGGAGGGAGAGAAAAAAAUUGAUAUGAUUUAGAGUUAUAUAAUUUAAUUUAGUCGACUAAAUGUUGAUGAAUCGAAACAUUUAGUCAAUUAAAUUUUUUUUGUGGUACUAAAUUGUGUAAUUUCAAAAGUUAGAACUAGAUAUUACAGCAAAUUAAAUUUGAGGACUAAAGUGUCACCGGAUAGAUAGUUUAAGGACCAAAUGUGUAAUUUACCCUCUGUUUUUUUAGGUAAAGAUGUACAGAACUAACUUGGACUACUGUCCAUUUGAUUUAGCUACUCAAUUUUUUAAAAUUUUAAUUUUAUUAUCUAAAUUUUUAAUUUAUUUAAUUUAAGUCAAUCAAUGAUAUUUUAAUUUUAAAAUUUGAAUGCGAUGUUUAUUUUUACAAGCCUAGUUAAUAUACUUUAUACAAUUUUCGCAACCAUAAAUACAUUAAAAUAAGUAAUUAGCUUAUAUUUUAAAUUGUAAGAUUAAGCAGUAAAAUCAAAAUUUUGAAAUAUUGAAUAGCUAAAUCAAAAUAUUUCAUAGCUCAUAAAAAUUUUGUGCGUAUUUAAAUUUUUUUUAUUAUGAGUUGGUCUCGUGAUAUUUAUUAGGCGUUCUCAUGUUAGAAGCUGUUUGGCAGAGAUGGAGAGUUUCGUUGUGUUUUCCAGUGUGUGACCUUCAAAGGCAGCAGCAGAGUGCUAAAUUGUGGUUCUAAUUUUCUACGAAAACAAAAGGGAUCUUGCACCAUCAGCCAAAAUCAAUUUGAAUACAACAGAGUAUUCAUUUUGGAUUAUUUUGUAUCUAAUUCCUCAGAUGCAAGUCGUUUUUCUUUCUGAAUUUAGGGUAUGUUUGUUUCAUCGAAACUGGACUUUGGGUUGAACUGGAGCUCGGUGAAAACUACUUCUUUCCCGCUGUUUGUUUCGUGAUUAUGGAAGUUAAAUUAAGGCCUAGAGCCCAAUACAGGGAGUCCCUAGUUACAAUAGCAAAUACUUGGGCCUGUGGCCCAACUCGACCUUAUUCCUGGGUGCACUGUUUAGUAAGAAAGCCAAUCUGGCCCGGCCUACGGAACAAAAGGCCCAAAUCACGUAAUUUAAACCAAUCUAUAUUUUACGGCCCAAAUCAUAGUAUUGUUAUUAACAUUAGUGGUUCAAUUACAUAAUAGUGGUGACCUUUUCGCAUAGUAAUACUUUUAUUUCAUUUUUUAGAUAAUAAUAAUCCGACAACUUACCUGAUCCAAAAAGUCUAUUUUUCCAGUUUGGGUUAUCAUUUUUGUAUGUGACUAAAAAUAAAAAAGAGGAUAGUUAAUCUUACAAUUAUUGGGUGAAGAAUUAUAAAAAUUAGAAUCCUUUUGAUUGCAGACUUAGUAAUUUUUAACUUAAAAAUGCUUGUUCAAAAAGCAAAUAAAAUUGAAUUAAGAGUUCCAAACUAGUAGGAUUUGGAUAAAGAGAUGGGAAGUUGGUGCAUACGAGGGAAGAGAAGGAAAACACAGGCAUCACGUGCUAAGGACCACCGACACAACUUCAUGUCUCUCUUCUUUUCUUUUUUCAUUUUUUUGGUCCGUUCUGUUUUGUCAUGGUCCUUUUGACUCAUAAUAACAAUCAUGCUCUCCUACUAGCCCACCUUGAAGAUUCUCCUCCUAUGAGGCUAUAAUCCCUCCCCACCACUAGGAUCCAUCCCAUCCCUCCCUCCCUCCGCAGUCCCAGCCGAAGAAACCCAGAACAAUCUCCUCAACAAACUACAGCUAAUUAAUCAGUCCACCGAUCAAUCUACAGUUAUUAUGGGCAUAACCCACAACCCCCACCACAACCAUUUCCCCACCAAGAAACUCAUCACUUGGGCUCUCUAUGCCCUCAUCCCCUUAGCCCUCCUCCAUUUCUACCUCUUCCCCCUCUCCUUCCCCCACCGCCAAUCCCCAUCUCCCCCUCAUUCCCAAACCCCCGUCCACACAAUCUCCUCCUCCCAUCAAGGUCUAUAAAUAAAUAAAUAAAUAAAUAUCGACAUUAAUUAAUUUCCAUCGCGUUCAUUUUCUCUAAUAAUUAUUUUGAUUCCUGCUGCCGAGCAACAGCAACAGGUGAGCGGAGGCUGCGGUGCGACUACGGGGAGGGGCGAUGGGUUCGGGACGCGGCGGGGCCGCUGUACAACGGCACGAGGUGCGGCACCAUCAAGGACGGCCAGAACUGCAUGGCGCACGGCCGCCCCGACACCGGCUAUCUGCACUGGCGCUGGGAGCCGAAGCGCUGCGCCCUCCCGCGGUUCGACCCCGCGUCAUUUCUUACGCUGCUGAAGGGCAGGCACCUGGCGAUGGUCGGCGACUCCAUGGCGCGGAACCAAAUGGAGUCGCUGCUCUGCCUCCUCGCCACCGCGUCGCGCCCCGAGCUCGUCUACCGCGACGGCGACGAGAACAAGUUCCGGCGGUGGGUCUUCCGCGAGCACAACGCCACCGUGUCGGUCUUCUGGUCGCCGUUUCUCGUCCGAGGCGUCGAGAAAUCGGCGGCGGCGGCGGCGGCGGCGGGGCUGGACCACAACGAGCUGCACCUCGACUCGGCCGACGCGCGGUGGGCGUCGGAGUUGGAUAGGAUGGACGCGGUGCUGUUCUCCGUCGGGCACUGGUUCCUGCACCCGGCCGUGUACUACGAGGGCGACGCCCUGCUGGGCUGCCACCACUGCCCGGGGCUCAACCACACCGAGAUCGGAUUCUUCGGCGUGUUCCGGAAGGCGAUUCGGAGGGCUCUUCGGGAGGUCGUGGACGCAGAGAAGGAGAAGCUCGUGGUGGUGACGACGUUCUCGCCGGCGCACUUCGAGGGGGAGUGGGACAAGGCCGGGGCGUGCCCGAAGAAGGAGCCGUUCGGAGAAGGGGAGAGGGAGAUGGAGUACACGGACAAGGAGAUGCGGAAAAUUGAGCUGGAGGAGGCGGCUGCGGCGGCGGCGGAGGCCAUGGCGAAGGGUGGAAGGGUGAAAAUAGAGGCGUUGGACGUGACGGAGUUGGCCCUGAUGCGGCCCGACGGGCACCCGGGCCCGUACAUGUAUCCGAAUCCGUUCGCCGAGGGGCCGAAGGAGAGGGUGCAGAACGAUUGCGUGCACUGGUGCCUGCCCGGGCCGAUCGAUGCAUGGAACGAGAUAUUGCUCGAUAUGAUGAAGAGAUGGAAAGAAGAGUGAGAAUUAUUGAACGGAAAAUUUUGUUGUGUGUAUCAAUGUUUUUCUUUUCUUUUCUUUUCUUUCUUUUCUUUUUUUUUUUCUCCUUUGUUUGAUUUUGUUUUUAGUUUAGGAUACUGUCGAGAGGGAUAAAGAGGUUGGUAUGUUUCAUGAGGGUUGAUAGGGAAAGAUUGAGGAAAUCUAGCAACGUUGAAAGUUGGGAACAGGUGAAAUCUGUAGGUUCCUCUUGGAAAGUGAAUUUAUUCGUACCAAAAUGGAGAAGGUCAUUAAUUUUUGUUCUCGAGCUAUGUGUUGAGAGUUUUUAUUAACCCCGAGUUUUUGAGAGUUUAGGAAGAAAAAGAAUGAGAAGGGAAAGGUUGAGAGAUUUAGUAAAGCCUCACGCUUGGUGGGGCUUCAGGCAGAAAACAGUCCAUAGAUUACAAAUGUUAUACUUACCUCACAUUAUCAGUAAUAAACUAAUCAUUUCUUUUUUUUGAGAGAGAGAGAACUACGACAAAAAUAUUUUUCUAUUAAUCAUGAUGAAUAGGUGAGCCUAAGGAGAACAAUUUCAUUGGUAGGGAAUACCACAUCAAUUAUGUGUAUUAUAGAUUUUUUUUCUCAGGCAGAUAGUAAUAAAGUAAUAACAAUAAUUUUCGGCCUGCAUUUUCUUUUGCGGUGACUAAAUGUGUCAAAAAUUUUGAAAAUAUUUUAGAUCAACAAUUUGAUUUCGUCUCCAUGAGAUCUUUAACAAAUAAUGUUACUAAGAAUUUGCACCAAAGCAAUUUUAUUUAACAAUAACAUAAUAAUAUAAUAAUUUGUAUUAUAUUAAAAUAAUAUUAGAGAUUUACUUCUGUAAUUUUCUUUUAUUGAAAGGAAAAAAUAAUUAUAUAAAAUAACUUAUUUGCUCAGAGGUGGGCAGCUGGAAGACACCCAACACAAUGAAAAACUCUACUUGUUUAAAGUUUAAUCUAAGUUAAUUAAUUAAUGCUUGGAGUGGGUAAAUAACUUGCCCACCUGGUAGUCCUGGGAGAGCAAUUUAGGGAUGUGCUUUAAUGAAGUACUUAAAAUAUAUCAAAUUUCUACAAAAGUUACAAAUUUAAGCAUAUACUUAAAUUUCUUCCUCUCAGUUAAACAAAUUUUAAAUUUGUUUAUUAUAUUGGACCUCUAGGAAAAGUGCUAUAACCAAUUAAAUUGGAGUUUUUUUUUUUUUUUUUUGAGAAAUAGAUAGCAAGCUAUCUGUUUCAUUCAUUAGGUAAAAUGAACUAAGCGUACAAUAUGAAGACAGCCAGGGCCUCCCAGAGAACAGGCGAAAAGAGAUAAACAAAACAAAAGAGAAAAAAAAGGGGGGUGUUAGUAAGGAGAGGAGGGAUUGGAGCUGAAGCCCAAUCGUCACGUCACCGUAAAGAGUUCCAGUCGUUUAGCAAAAGUUUGACACGUUCGAGAGACCGGGUAACGUUGUGCGUAAUUCCGCAAAAAAUGACGUUAUUUUUGUCUGUCCAGAUCACCCACCAAGUCGCAGCCAAGAGGAUCAGACCUUGCGUCCUCGAGGAGUGAACCGGGAUGCCGCACGAUCCGUUCCAAAGAGUGUUGACGUGACGUCCAAUAUAGCUAGAGAACAAUAGUUUUAACAGUACACGUCCAAUAUAGCUAAAAAAAGUUGUUUAAUAAGCCAACCAAAUAAAGAAGCAAGUCCUACCAGUACUUCAAAUGUGAUAUUUUACCAAAAUUAAAACAAACCAAAUUUAUUAAAUUUUAUCACUAAUUAUAUUACUAAUAUAAAAUUUAACUUUACUAAUAAAAUCAUCUCUUAACCAAGGCCUCAAGAUUACUGAUUUUUUCUAAGAGAAAAAGAUAGCAAACUAUCUGUUUCCUUUAUUUUUUUUUAAAUCGAACUCAACUAGCCAUAUAAAAUAAGUAAGCUUCAAAAUUAAAAUUUUGAGUGUUAAUCACCAAGUUUUAAGCCCAGAGUAUUAGAAUGUUUAGGGCCUGUUUGGUUUAAAGUAAAACUAUGAAAAAAAAAAAUUUCGGUGGAAAAAANAUUAUAUAGAAAAGAAAGAGAGGGGGGAGAGAGAGAGGUCCACCGGCGGUCCUUGCCCUUCCAAACGCCGCGAUUUUUGGGCGUCUAGUUUCGAGCGAAAAACGAAAACGACACUUUUCCUCACAAUGCGUAAAAGAAAUUUUUCGAAAAUUUUUUUUGUGAGCAAACAAACUGCGGAAAGUUAUUUUCCACCGAAAAAUUUUUUCAAGAUGAUUUUUUUUUUUUUAGAGAUAGAUAGUAUACUACCGCUUAAUUUAUUUUAUUUACAAAUAAACUUAAAUAGAAAUAUGAAUUAAUUAGAAUUUGAACUUAAAAUUUUAGAUACCAAUCAUCAAGCACUUUGCGUAGGACGAAACAAACGCACCCUUAAGCUCCGUUUGGAUACCUCUAAAAACGUAGCAUAGUUAAACUAUGCUACGCCGGUAGAAAAAUAAUUCUAUGAAGCAUUUGGAAGAAAAAAAAAAUAACGUAAUUUUUGGAGUAUAGUUAUACUAUACUCCAAAAAAUAGAGUAAAUUUACAAUCCACUUUAACCAAAGGAAAAAAAUUUCAUCAUUUUGAGCUCCCAAAGAUGUAUCAAUUUCUAAAUUUUAAAUUUCAGCAUAAAAUUUUAAAUUUCAAAAUUUAAAAUUUUAAAAUUCAAUUUUAAUUUUGAUUUCAAAUUUCAAAUUUCAAAUUUUAAAUUUCAAAUUUCAAAUUUCAAAAAGUUCAAAUAUCAAAUUUCAAAUUUCAACUUUCAAAUUUCAAAUUUCAAAUUUUAAAUUUUAAAUUUUAAAUUUCAAAAAGUUCAAAUAUCAAAUUUCAAAUUUCAACUUUCAAAUUUCAACUUUCAAAUUUUAAAUUUCAAAUUUCAAAAAGUUUAAAUUUCAAACUUCAAACUUCAAACUUCAAACUUCAAAUUUCAAAUUUCAAAUUUCAAAUUUCAAAUUUCAAAUUUCAAAAAGUUCAAACUUCAAAUUUCAUCUUUCAAAUUUCAACUUUCAAAUUUCAAAUUUCAAAAAGUUCAAAUUUCAACUUUCAAAUUUCAAAUUUCAAAAAGUUCAAAUUUCAUAUUUCAUAUUUCAAAUUUCAAAUUUCAAANNNNNNNNNNNNNNNNNNNNNNNNNUUUCAUUUUAAAUUUCAAAUUUCAAAUUUUUAAUUUAUUUUUAGAUUUUUAAUAUUCAAUUUUAAAAAUUUUAAUUUAACUUUAAAUUUUAAUUUAAUUUUUUAUUUAAUUAUUGUAAUUAUAAAUUUUAUGAAAAUAUUUAAAAUUUAAAAUUUUAUUAUAUAUUUUUUAAAAUUUCAAAUUCAAAUUUCAAUUACAAAUUUUAAAACUAAAUUUUAAUUUAAUUUUUUAAAAUUUUUAAAAUUUAAUUUAUAUAUUUUUGAAUUUUGAAUUUUAAUUUUUAAAAUUUUAUUUUUAAAUUUUGAAUUUUGAAUUUUGAAUUUUAAAUUUUAAAAUUUUAGAAAUUUAAUUGUUAUAAAUACUAUGGAAUUAUAUUAUCUGUAUCAAAACAGCUUAAAAAUGAAGCUGUGGAAUUUUUUUGUAGUUACAGAAUUCCGUAUUUUAUUUAGACCAAAACCGAAUAAAAAUUCUAUGGAGUUUUUUAACUAUGCAUCCAAACAGAGCCUUAGUCUCAAAGUUGCCGACAAAUAUUUUUAAUCAAAUUAUUGGAAGCGUGGUCACAAGCUUCCUUGUGCCCCGAAUGGGGAUGUAGUUGUUUGCACGACCUGCGCCUGUAAAUUAUUUUGGACUCUUGGCCACGUGUAGGAGCAUCCCUGUGAAUUAAUCACUUGCAACCGUGUCCGUGUAACCUUGAAAAUUGCUCCGGAAAUUGUGCUAAGUCACUGCCUAUUUCUCUUUUUUUUCAACACUAUUCAAUUAUUAGUAAUAGUUCCUAUUUUUUUUAAAAAAAAAAUAGAUAGCAUGCUAUUCGUUUUGUUUAUUUUAUUUAAAAAUAAAUUUAACUGUAAAUGUGAAUCAACUAGAAUUCGAAUUUGGUAUCUCGGAUACCAACCACCAAGUCUUUUGUUGACGAUCGGUAAUGGUUCCAGUAUUAGUUGGUCUCCUCAGUUUAAAGGAGUGCUCAUAUUUUAAUUUUUAGAUUUUUAAUUUGUUAUAAUAUUUUGGUUUGAAUUUUAAAAUUAUUGUAAUUAAAAUUUAAUUAAUUAUUAAAUUAUAUUAUUUAAUUUAUUUUACUAAAUAUUAGUAUAUCACCAAAAAAAAAUGAUGUGAUAGGAUUGUCAAUUGUGAUUGAUAAUACAUUAACAAUUAAAAUAUAAAUUAUUUUUAUAUUAGCAACACGUUAAUAGUUAAUCAAUUAAAUUUAUUUAUGUUACUUAAUUGAAUAAUUUUAAAAGUUCAAACAAAGAAUUAUAAUAAAUUAAAAUUUAAGCGUGGUUCUGAUUUUCUUCGAAAACAAAAUGGAUCUUGCACCAUUAACCGAAGUCAAAUUGAAUAUAACAGAGUAUUCAUUUUGGAUUAUUUUGUAUCUAAUUCCACAAAUGCAGGCGUUUUUUUUUUUUUUUUUUUUCGAAAUUUGAGUAUACAUAAAGAUUUUAGUCUAAUCUUUUUAUGUCAAUAAAGCCACAAAAUGUCUUUAUUUCUCCAGGAGAUUGGACUUCAUAGUUUUGUCCUGUAAUGAAUUGGUCACAGGAUUACUCAUUUAUUCACCAUUUUUUUUCUUUCAUGAUCAAAUAUUGGAGCUUCUCUCUCUCUCUCUCUUUUUCUUUGUAGAAACUUAAAUCAUUGACAUGCACCUAAGAUCUCCACCAAACUGUGGACCCAUCACUUUAAUUAAGACCUGAAUCAAAUUCUUUCGUAUCAUUACUCUAAUUAAUCCCAUUUGAUGCCAAAACUCUAGAAUAUAAUAAUUACAGGUGCACCCAAUUGAGAAUUCUACUAUAUAAUAAUUACAGGUGCACCCAAUUUAUAGCAAGAGCACAAGAAACCCUGAAUUUGGCUAGUUCACUAGAAUAUAUUAGUAGCUUCUACCAAGGCCUGGUGAGAGAUCACUUUUCAUAUUGAGUUUGGUUGAAUCCUACAAUUAAUUACCUUCACAUCAUUUGCCAUGUAGGAUAAAGCAUAAUCUAUUAAUUAGCAUGCAUCCUCCAAGUAGUCCUUCCUAGUUGAGCAAACAAAAGAUGGAGAGCAAGCACACAUCAGAGUCCUCUAAUAUUGGAACAUCUUUUCUCUCUGCUGUGUCAUCAUCUCACAUGAAUACCACACAGUCCAAGAACAUGGUAGCUUCACAAUCUCUAUACUAUUCUCUUGAGUGGAAUGCGAUCCAAAAGAAAAUCGGAUCCUUCCUGUUUUUGUUGCUUCUACUCUCCACCAUCUUCCUUUUGUUCAUCUUGUAUUCUUCAAACACUUACAAUAUCACAACCAAAUAUGCCCUUAAAGAGAUCUCCAUUUCAGAGAAUUUGUCUCCUCCUGCAACCAAGGAAGCACCCAUCAAUGAGUCUUCACUCGCCACUACUCAAAGAUCACCCGCAACUGGUAAAAAGCAUUAAUUAUCUUUGUUGUUAAUUUACAUUAAGCAUUUUUAGUCUGUUUGGCUCCACUUCUGCUUCCACUUCCUACAGCAACAACAAAUUCUUGUUGAGUUUUUGAUAAGAAAUAUUUGGUGCAUUCGUUGUUACCGGAAGUAAAAUAAAUUAAAUUUCAAGCCUCAAAAGUAUAGUAUAAAUUAUGAAAGAAUCAAUUUUAGGCACUUUGUUGUACUAGUUCAGUUCUAUUAACAACACUAUUAAGACACCACCUAUAUCUUAGAGCAGCGCCAAAUAGACUCUUUAUAUUAAUGUUUUUUGAGUAAUAAACAUAUUGCAUUUGAAUUUAUGCAUGGCGCGGAAGAUGUGUGUGAUUUGUCCGUGGGAAAGUGGGUAAAGGAACCAAGAGGGCCUCUAUACAACAACGCGACGUGCCGAACCCUGCCAGAUUUGAAGGACUGCAUGAAGUACGGGAAGGAGCCGAGCUACUUGUACUGGAGAUGGAAGCCCGAGGGGUGCGAGCUCCCGAGGUUCGAUCCCGAAACGUUCCUCGCCGUCGUCCGGGGCAAGAAGAUGGGCUUCAUCGGAGACUCACUCGCCCGGAACCAAAUGGAGUCCCUGCUGUGCCUUUUAUCUCAGGUUACCACUCACAACAUCCUAGUAAUGUGCUAACAAAUUUAAGGAAGAUCAUUGAUUCUGUACUUGUCUAAAAGAUUGCAUAGCUAACUCAAAAUGAUUUAUAGUUCAGAUAAGUUACAUACGCGUUUUCCUGAAAAUAUUGUAAUAUGCAAAUGAAUUGUGUUUUCUCUCUACAGUUCAGUGAGCUUGUAGCUAAUUCUUGUAUUUUUCUUCAACGAAAUCUACUUGUUACAUAGGCAGAGACUCCAAUCGACGUAUACAAGGACGACGGCGACAAAUUCCGAACAUGGCACUUCCCCUCCCACAACUUCACGCUCAUGGUCAUGUGGACCGAAUUCUUCGUCGAAGGAAUACAAAGGAUAGUAAACGGAACGGCUACUGCGUCAUAUGACAUACACUUAGACAAGAUCAACACAAACUGGACCUCGCGACUUCCGGGUCUAGACUUCGCGGUCAUCUCCGGCGGUAACUGGUUCUUCCGAACCCACUACUUGUACGAAGGCGGAAAAACCGUCGGCUGCCUCAACUGCGGAGAGGACAACGUAAGAGACCUCGGCGUCGAGUUCGCCGUCCGAAGUGUAGUUCGAAAGGCGCUCGAGUUCGUUAGUACGUGCGCGGAGUGCGACGGGCUUGUAACAUUCCUGAGGACAUACACACCAUCACACUUUGAGAAUGGCUCAUGGUUCACUGGGGGGUACUGCAACAGAACUCAACCCUUGAGUGAGGAUGAGUUAGGAUUGCGCGGUUUUGAUUUGAAAUUGAGGAAGAUUCAAUUUGAAGAGAUGGAGAGAGCUAGGAGGACUAAGGUUAAUGGGCCGGGCCGAGAAUUCGGGCUUUUGGAUGUGACGAAGGCGAUGAUGCUUCGGGCCGACGGGCAUCCGGGGGCCCAUUAUGAUAAAAGGUGGGUUAGGAAUGCUAAUGAUUGCUUGCAUUGGUGCUUGCCCGGGCCUGUUGAUAUGUGGAACGAGGUGCUAUUGGAAACUCUAAAAAAGCAUUCGCCACUCUAGUGGUACAAUUUUAGUUAUUUGUUUGGAUUAAACAUAUAAGGUGCAUUUGGUUCAGAUUAUCCCGACAGGUAAUUCUGUUAGAAUUAUUGUAUUUGGUUCAUCCGGUAUGUAAUCUGCUCGGUAUUACAGGAUUACAAAAGGUAUAAGAUUAUACUUAAAAUAUUACUGAGAGGAUGGGUGUGUAUCUUGGAUUACUAAAGAUGGCUAAUCUUGCAUGUUAUAUAAAAUUAUAAAUUUACCCUUCCAAUUUCUGAAAGCCAUUUAAUACGUCAUUUUAAAAAUUUUACUUUAAAAUUUUGAAUUGUCAAAUCUUAAAUUUUAAAUUUUGAAUUUGAAUUUUAAGUUUUAAAUUUUAAAUUUUAAAAUUUGAAUUUAAAUUUAAAUUUUUAAUUUUUAAAUUUUGAAUUUUAAAACUAAAAUUAAAAUUUUCAUUUUUAAAAUUUUAAAUUUAAAUAUAAAAUUUUUAAUUUUACAUUUUACAUUUUAAAUUUUAAAAUUCAAAUUUGUAUUUUAAAUUCUAAAUUUUAUAUUUAGAUUUUAAAUUUAAAUUUAAAUUUAAAUUUAGAUUUUAGAUUUUAAAUUUAUAAAUUUAAUAUUUAUAUUUUAAAUUAAAAUAUUAAAAGAUAUAUUUUUGUUCCAAUUUAAAGUUUAAAAUUUAGAAUUUAAAAUUUAAAAUAGUUAUAAUAAAAUUUAGCCAAAAAAUAUUAUUUGUAAAUAAUAAAAAAAAUUGUCAAAUAUGGCUAAUAAGGGCAGUUUUGAAAUAGGCUAUAUUUUAUUGUUAAAAUUAUUGAAUUUUAUAGACUAAACCAAAUAGAGUAAUGCUAUAAACACUGUAAUACAGCAUUAUAUUACUGCAUUAAACCAAACGCGCUAAUACACCAUUAGUAGUAAUCUCAUUUAGAAAUUCAAGAAAUCUAGAUAUAUCGAACUACUCUGUAAUAUUACGCAACUUGAACCAAACACGCCCUAGAAAUAUUUGCACAAAUGAAUAGCUUUUGUACGUGAUUUUCCUUUUCUUUUUUCCUUUUAAACUACCAUAACAUGGUAACAUCCAAAAGCUCAAUCAUAAACUAAGAAUAAUUAAAAGAAAAAGCCUUUACAAAAUAUGUAUAUCCAGGACUUCGCCUGAUCACUAUUCACUAAUGCACACAAUCAUUAGCAACCUGAAAAACAAACCUGAAACUGGUCUUUAAAAUUAAUUCCCAGUCCUAACCAGCAACCUGGAAAAACAACCUGAAAAAGAGCACCAAAACCCCGAAUCCGAGAAGAAAGAGACACCCAAUUCCCAAGACUGACAGGUAGUCUUCUAUGUCGGCCAAUCGGCGGCGACGGCGGGAUUCGUUGGUACGGUUACUGCGAGGGACGUAAGGGACGAAAGGAUCCUUCACGAUGACGAUCUCCAGGAGCUGCGGCUGUCGCUGUGGCUGCAGCUGUGGUGGCCGCGGCGGCUUCUCUGUCCUCCUCAGAGGCCUCACAGUCGACGGCACGCGGUCGGAGGAGACUAAAACCACCCUGUCCAUCUUGCAGAGAGCUUCUUGAUUGCAACGAGACAAAGUUUGAACGUUGAUGGAAGAACCAUGGGGCAUGCAUGCAUAUAUAUAUAUAUACACACACACAUAGAGAGAGCAAUCUUUAGCUAUUCAAGUUACUUAGCGACACGGAUUAGGAAAUAGGAAAAGCUUGUUUCCACUAGGAGUAGGAAUAAGAAGAGAGGGAGAAAAUCAAAAAAAAAAAAAAAAAAGUCGUUUAUGCAAAUCAUAUUUAAAUGCCUAACUAUAAAUUAAUAUACCUUUAUCUUUUUUAAAUAAAAAAAAGAAAAAACAAAGAUUUAAAAUAUUUAAGAGAUAUAGGAUAAACAAAGCCGUUACCUACUUGGAGUAUUAUUCUAUACAGACACGUAACUAUUAAUUCGAAUAGUAGGGAAAAAAAAUAAAAGAAAAAUCGAGAUUGAACAAAUUAACAAGCGAGAUCAGACCCAUCAAACUAGUAAAAUGAUAAAAUUAAAUGCAUGCAACACACUAGCAUAAGGGAUGAACACGUAAACUUCAAUUUGAAGAGAGAAAUAAAACCCUC
rnacentral:lncRNA from 1 species